rnacentral:lncRNA from 1 species
UUCAGUGAUGAGCUCAAGAUUUCGUUUUCGUCCGUUUAGCGCUGGGAUUUAACCUUUCCCAAUGUUUCCAGUGUGAGGGGUGCAGUGUGUUUGUAUGCUUAGUUCAGAUGGAGUAGAAACUCCAGGGACUAGUAGUUUAGCACUAGUCUGUCCGGAGCAACUCACGAGAUCCUCUCUAUAUACGUGAAAUGUAUAUUUGCUAACCUGGUGUGGACUGCGGACAAGUAUAUUCAUUUAUUUAUGCGUGUAUGGUUAAGAUAGUCCUACCACCCAGGUUACAAUGACAUGCUUUUCAUUUUCUUUUUAGAAGUACCGAGUCACGGUCAAAGCUUACUCUCUGGUAGUUUUAUCACGUGUUAGUUGCUUCUGAGUUUCCUUCAUACAUUAUGUUUAGUGGUUAGUAUGAUUGUUCUGUUUAAAUUGCUGAUGAUGCUGAUGCUGAUGCGACUUUACCUUGGUUAGCAUCACCAUUCUGUUUGGUUUGUUGAUGAUGACUGGUCCCCAUUCCCCACAAAUGUUUAUUUAUGUGAGUAUGAGAUCGUCUGUAAACGUGUGCAUUUACGCGGCUUGCUGAUAGGAUUUGAGCUUACGCCUUAAUGGCUUUCUCGUUUGCAUACGGUUGCUUUCGUUGAGUUUAAGCCAAAAAUUUCCCUUGAACUGGCAACUAGUCCAUUGUGUGCUCAAGCCUCUACAACUCAGAAUUUAUGAUUUUUUUCUCCACUACUACAGCGCACUCGCACACAGCAUGUGUACAUAAAAUAGACAGAAUUUCUUAUUUAACACUCUCCUCCACGCCAGCAGGAAAAGUGCCAUGUUAGCGUCCGUGUUGAGAUGCGGAUGCCGUUGUGCUGCGACAGAACCGAGGACCAUGGCUCUAGGACGCCAUGCAAAGCUCCGCGUGCGAGGACAAAGCCGUGCGUUAUCCGCUGCUCUUGCUCGCGCCGUACCAGGCCGCUUCUUCCGCGAAAAACAUCUUCCAGUUCUUGUGCAUGCUCGAUCCGGUCGAUUCGUACAUGCAUAGAUGAAUGAGCCCUUUUAAGAUGGUCCCUCGUACCUCAGAGGAGGUAAGAGUUGAUAUGAACCGUUUUAUUUUAUGAAAAUGAUAAGUACCUGGUGUCGGGUACGAGCACACUGCAAAUCGAAUAUUCUCGAUGGCAAUUCUAGUGACAAUUUUUCGUCAAAAUAUAAAGGGAAACGUUUCCCUACGACCGACCGGCGCAACGCUUGGCCGGUUCAUCGUGCGUCAUAUGAUGCGGAAAGAUCAUGUGUCUCGCAGCGCUGAACCUUAUCCACACGCGAGCUCCCUCUUCUCCCCGAGCGACCUCCUUCUCCCUCUCUCGUCUCUUGUCGGUGGAGGGCGACCACCACCUGCCGCCGCCUGGACGCCCACUGAUGCUGCGAGCAUCUCCUCCCACCGGUACUACUAUGAGCAUCUCGUCUCCCAGCUCCAAGCUACUCAUCGCCGCUAUGGAGAGAUGGCGUCACACACACCCCCGUUGCAGGGAUGCUGCAUGGAUCGGUUGGUGGUGAUGCAUCGCCGGGGAGACCCGCGAGUUGGGUGUUGCAAGCGGAGACGCCGGUGGCACGGGCCUACUAUGGGAGGGCGAGGGCGAGACAUUAUUUUUGCUGGAAUCUGGAGACAUGCCUAGUGCUAUACCUACGACCAAGCAAUGAAAAAAAAUUCUACACAUAUACGGCAGAAGCUAUGGAAGACCACGAAAAGUUGCAACCGGUGAUGAAAAAAGCUUCAUCUGGCGACGAAAGAAGAUUCAUCUGGCGUUAAAAAAAGUUUUAACCGUAGAGACGAAUUCUAUGGACGACAAUGAAAAGUUGCAACCAGCUCUUACAAAAGCUGCAACCGGAAUUGAAAAACGCUUCGAACUUCAUGUCUUAGCUGCGACCCGCGACGACGAUGACGACAUUUUGCUGCAACUAUAGUCGGUUUUUGCUACAAUCGGCGAUGGAAUUUGCUACAAACCAUUUUCAUGGCUGCUAUUGUGCUACAAAUGCGCCGACGAGCACGCCGAGGUUGAUGGGGGUGGGAUCUUGCGAACCACGGAUGCCGAGAUCUGGUGUGCAGGCGACGAUUAGUGCGAUCUUCCAAUCGGCAUGUGGGGAGAGUUGCGGCCAACAACCCNNNNNNNNNNNNNNNNNNNNNNNNNNNNNNNNNNNNNNNNNNNNNNNNNNNNNNNNNNNNNNNNNNNNNNNNNNNNNNNNNNNNNNNNNNNNNNNNNNNNNNNNNNNNNNNNNNNNNNNNNNNNNNNNNNNNNNNNNNNNNNNNNNNNNNNNNNNNNNNNNNNNNNNNNNNNNNNNNNNNNNNNNNNNNNNNNNNNNNNNNNNNNNNNNNNNNNNNNNNNNNNNNNNNNNGCGAGCCACCGACGGGCACAUCCGAAAGGGGGCAGGAGUUGGUGGCUCAAAGUCGCUCUCGCUCCCUCUCUCUCUUUCCCUCUCGCUCUCUUCGUGUGUGUGCGCGCGCACUUGGACGAAGGAAAGGGACGAAUCGGUGUGGGAGCAAGAUAGAGAUCAAACGGCUCACAUGAAGUGCAUCUGACAGCUAGGUGCCGACCAGCCGGCGCCUAGCACUCGCUAAAAAUAAUCUGCACGAAGUUGCUACACUUGCGAACUAAAGUUGUCAUCCUCACAUCACUAAACCUGCCAUCGAAAACGUUCGAUUUGCCAUGUGCCCGUACCUGAUGUUUGGGGGUUAUCAGAUUCCUUAUUUUAUUGACUAGUGGGCCCAAAUUAUUAGCAUGUGCUAAUUAAUUUUGCCUGAACCGGUCACCCUUACCUGUUGCGCAACGUAGAAAUAAGGAAACCCUCCAUCAAUCAAAACAAAAAAGAAAACCCAAAUGAUAAGUGCCACACGUGUGGCAAGAAGUAAGUUGGUCUGAAUGUGGUCAUCACCACCCGUUUUUUCUGCACGAAUCUUUUAGUGCAGUCACCCCGGCUCGAGUGCCACGUUAGCGUAUGACGACGUGCGGUGGAACCGUCUGUAACGCCUCGGAUUCGUUGCACCAGGUGUCUGCCAGUUAUUUGCCGUCGUUGCCAUGCCAUUAGCUUGCGUGUUGCAUUUUAUCAUGUCAUCAUGUGCAUUGCAUUGCAUACCUAUUCGUCUCAUGCAUCCGAACAUUUUUCCCGUUGUCCGUUUUGCGAUCCGGUACUCCUAUGUCCUCCGGCGUCCCCCUUUUUGUCUCCUGUUGAGAGCGGGUGUUGAACUUUCUCGGAAUGGCCCGAGGUUUGUCAAGCAGCCUUAGCACCGGUAGACUGCCUGUCAAGUUUCGUGCCAUUUGGAGGUCGUUUGAUACUCCAAUGGUUAACCGGGUAACCGCAAAAGCCUCUUUGUCUUGCAGCCCAACACCCUUCCAAAGUGGCCCAAAACCCAGAAAACUCCCCUCCAUGCUCUCGGUCGUUCGAUCACGAUCGUGUGGGCGAAAACCGCUCCUCAUUUGGACUCUCCUAGCUCCCAGAAUUUAUAAAUAGACCCUCCCCGUCCAAAUUCGUGGAUGAAAUCCUACCCUAACCCUAAAACUUCCCCCGCCGCCACCGGACACGUCCGCCCCCGGCCGGACACGUCUGUGCCUCUGUGACCGGCGAAUCCCAGCGCGCCACGUGGCAGCCGCCGCCGUCCGCUGCCCGCGGCCCGCUCGGCCCGCAGUAGGCCCCCGCCGGGNNNNNNNNNNNNNNNNNNNNNNNNNNNNNNNNNNNNNNNNNNNNNNNNNNNNNNNNNNNNNNNNNNNNNNNNNNNNNNNNNNNNNNNNNNNNNNNNNNNNNNNNNNNNNNNNNNNNNNNNNNNNNNNNNNNNNNNNNNNNNNNNNNNNNNNNNNNNNNNNNNNNNNNNNNNNNNNNNNNNNNNNNNNNNNNNNNNNNNNNNNNNNNNNNNNNNNNNNNNNNNNNNNNNNNNNNNNNNNNNNNNNNNNNNNNNNNNNNNNNNNNNNNNNNNNNNNNNNNNNNNNNNNNNNNNNNNNNNNNNNNNNNNNNNNNNNNNNNNNNNNNNNNNNNNNNNNNNNNNNNNNNNNNNNNNNNNNNNNNNNNNNNNNNNNNNNNNNNNNNNNNNNNNNNNNNNNNNNNNNNNNNNNNNNNNNNNNNNNNNNNNNNNNNNNNNNNNNNNNNNNNNNNNNNNNNNNNNNNNNNNNNNNNNNNNNNNNNNNNNNNNNNNNNNNNNNNNNNNNNNNNNNNNNNNNNNNNNNNNNNNNNNNNNNNNNNNNNNNNNNNNNNNNNNNNNNNNNNNNNNNNNNNNNNNNNNNNNNNNNNNNNNNNNNNNNNNNNNNNNNNNNNNNNNNNNNNNNNNNNNNNNNNNNNNNNNNNNNNNNNNNNNNNNNNNNNNNNNNNNNNNNNNNNNNNNNNNNNNNNNNNNNNNNNNNNNNNNNNNNNNNNNNNNNNNNNNNNNNNNNNNNNNNNNNNNNNNNNNNNNNNNNNNNNNNNNNNNNNNNNNNNNNNNNNNNNUGACGCCCGCGCCCGGCCUCGCGUCGCCUUCGCCGGAGCUCGGCCGGAUCCGCGAGAUCCGGCCGGAUCCGCCCCGGAUUCGCCCGUCCCCGUCGUCUCCCUCAACUCCGGCGAGAACCCCGGCGAACCUCGAAGCCCGUGCCGAAGAACCCUAGAUCUGGAGAUUAGAGGUUGACCCCGAAUUUUCCCUAAGUCUCUGUUUUUUUAACAUUAUCAUGCCAUGUUCAUCGCAUCAUAUCUCCAUGCAUACUGCUCCGUUUUAUGCGUGUGAUAUAUCAGAACGUUCGGUGUGAGAUGCUCUACAUUUCGUUCCAUUGCACGAUGUUCAUUUGAGCUCAUCUUGAUGCCUGAAUCAUCGUUGCAAGAGUGCUAUAUGAUGUUGCCUGCUGUCUGUUAACAGAACUUGCUCAUUUGUCAUUUUUGCCAUGAUUGAUGUGUGCAUCCUAUGAGGUUGAUGUCUACAUGUGUUUUGAACUAUGCCAUGCCAUCUUUACAGGGGUGCCAUCCAUGUAUUUUUGUGAGUUGUGUAGUGAGUGCAUCAAGCUUGUUAAGUAGGGUACUUGCUGUUACUGUUUUGCUAGGCUGAAUCUGUUAUUUCGUGAUGCUAUGUAAACCUGCUGCUACAAGUCAUUCUAUGCAUAAUCUGGAGAUGUUCAUUAAGGGUGUUUUGUUAUACAUGUCAUGAUCUAUCCAUCCAUGCCCCUGGUUGCAUUUAUAGCCUGCUGUAGCUUGUUGUAAACUUGCUCCAAAGUUGCUAAAUAAUGUUGCCGUCAGCCUGUUAUCAUUAAUUUCAGUUGUCGCCAUGAUUGUUGCUAGUGUUCCAUGCACCCUAUGAACUUGAUCUUGCCAUGUUUAGCUUCUCAAACAUGCCUUCUUUCUGUUGGUUGCCUUGUGAUGCCAUGUAUUGCUCUGUGGUGAGUGGUACAAGCUCACCAACAUGCCUACUUAUCGUUGUUCCUGCCAUGUUUGAAUCUGUAAUAUAACUUGCCAUGUUUACAUGCGUGCCAUCAUAUUUUCUGAUCCUUUUUGGCUCUUGGUCAGUAAAGGACUUUUAUUCUAUGCAUUUAGUAGUAGCAUGCAAUGCCUUUGUUUUCCAUGACUGUAACAUGUUGUUUGAUAGCUCUAAACAUUGCAACCUGAUGUUAUUUCAGCAAAUUCUGAAACUGUUAUUAUUUGCAAUCUUGCCAUGUGUGUUUGAGCAUGUUCUAGUGAUUUCUGGAGAUAACUCAGUGUUCAUGUUUUGUAAUCCUUUACUUGUAAAUCAUACCCAUGCUUUUUGUUUUUAUAUUGUGGCACUAUAGCAUGUAGUUUUGGUGCUUGCAAUAUGCCUAGUUGCUGUUUUAGACAGAUUGUUGUUGUAUCAUGUUUGAAGUGUAUGUGUUGAACCGUUGCUCCGUUUUGAGUGUGCUCUAUAUGAAACUUGCUUAGAUUUGUGUGUAGUUUCAUAUUACCUUGUUGCAUCCUUGUUUUGAGGUGUUUGCUUGAUGUUUGUAUGCAUUUUGCAUCAAUGCCAUGUUUAACUUGUUUUGCUCAUAUCUUCUAGGCCGUAGCUCCGAAUUAAAUGAACUUUAUAUGUAACUUGACUAGAAUCUCGUGUAGAUCAUCAUGGUGCAUUUUAACUUGCUGUUUAACAACUUGAACAUAAGGUUUAUUCAGAUCUGGACCAAUUUCGAAACUUGCAUAUGAGGACUUACCGGAAUUGUUAUAUGUUGUUCCUGACCUCAUUUAAACUUGCCUUGAUGUGUUGUUCUUGUUUGCAUCAUCUCUUGCCAUGAGUAUCUUCAUGUAGUCUUGUCUUGCAUCAUGCUUGCUGUGCAUCAUGUCUUGUCUAUGUGUGGUGUGUUUACCGUGUUGUGUGCUUCUCUUGAUAGUUCCCGUUUCGUUGCGAUCGUGAGGAUUCCUUCGACUACGCUCGGUUCAUCUUCGUGGCUUCAUCUUCUUUAUGGACUCGUUCUUCUUCCUUGCGGGAUUUCAGGCAAGAUGAUCGCUACCCUGGAUCUCACUACUAUCAUUGCUAUGCUAGUUGCUUCGUUCUAUCGCUAUGCUGUGCUACCUAUCACCUGUUUAUCAAGCCUCCCAAAUUGCCAUGAACCUCUAACCUUUGACACCCUUCCUAGAAAACCGUUGCUUGGCUAUGUUACCGCUUUGCUCAGCCCCUCUUAUAGCGUUGCUAGUUGCAAGUGAAGUUGAAGAUUGCUCCAUGGUGGAUAGGAUUAUGUUGGGAUAUCACAAUAUCUCUUAUAUUAUUAAUGCAUCUAUAUACUUGGUAAAGGGUGGAAGACUCGGCCUUAUGCCUGGUGUUUUGUUCCACUCUUGCCGCCCUAGUUUCCGUCAUACCGGUGUUAUGUUCUCGGAUUUUGCAUUCCUUACGCGGUUGGGUGAUUUAUGGGACCCCCUUGACAGUUUGCUUUGAAUAAAACUCCUCCAGAAAGGCCCAACAUUGGUUUUACCAUUUGCCUCACCACCACCUACUUUUCCCUUGGGAGUCGCUCUCUCGAGGGUCAUCUUUAUUUUAGCCCCCCGGGCCAGUGCUUGUCUAAGUGUUGGUCCGAACCGAGCAGCCUGCGGGGCCACCUCGGGGCAACUCGAGGGCUGGUUUUACUCGUAGCUUGACUUAUCCGGUGUUGCCCUGAGAACGAGAUAUGUGCAGCUCCUAUCGGGAUUGUCGGCGCAUCGGGCGGCUUUGCUGGUCUUGUUUUACCAUUGUCGAAAUGUCUUGUAAACCGGGAUUCCGAGUCUGAUCGGGUCUUCCUGGGAGAAGGUAUAUCCUUCGUUGAUCACAAGAGCUUAUCAUGGGCUAAGUUGGGACACCCCUGCAGGGUAUAAACUUUGAAAGCCGUGCCCGCAGUUAUGGGCAGAUGGGAAUUUGUUAAUGUCCGGUUGUAGAUAACUUGACACCCGAUUCGAAUUAAAACGCAUCAACCGCGUGUGUAGCCGUGAUGGUCUCUUUCCGGCGGAGUCCGGGAAGUGAACAUGGUUUUGGGUUAUGUUUGACGUAAGUAGGAGUUCAGGAUCACUUCUUGAUCAUUGCUAGCUUCACGACCGUUCCUUUGCUUCUCUUCUCGCUCUUAUUUGCGUAUGUUAGCCACCAUAUUAUGCUUAGUCGCUGCUGCAACCUCACCACUUAUCCAUUCCUUUACCCAUUAAGCUUUGCUAGUAUUGAUACCCAUGGUAAUAGGAUUGCUGAGUCCUCGUGGCUCACAGAUUACUACAACAACAGUUGCAGGUACAGGUUAUACGAUGAUCAUGACGCGAGAGCGAUGCUUGCUUGCGUUGAGUUCUUCUUCUGCUUCUUCGAUCAGGGCAUAGGUUCCAGGUCGGCAGUCUGGGCUAGCAGGGUGGAUGUCAUUUGAGUUUCUCUUUGUGUUUCAUCCGUAGCCGGAUGAUGCUCUUAUGUUUUGUGAUGUUGUAUUCGUGUGGCAUUGUAUGCCUCUUGUAUGUAUCCCCAUCUAUUAUGUAAUGUUGAUGUAAUGAUAUCCACCUUGCAAAAGUGUUUCAAUAUGCGGUUCUAUCCUUGGUGGGACCGUCGAGUCUCUUUAGGAUAGUAUCACAUAUUGGGCGUGACACCGUCGCUCACCCGAAUGCUCCACUCGCCCUCUCGCUCCACUUGCCGUUAAUCUCACACAGUUGGCAUUUCUAGUCACGCCCAAUCGCCCACUCUCUCCACUUGCACCCCCCCUCUUGCUAUCCCCCUUCAUCACAAGACGGUUCAGCGGCGAGGCGAUUCCGCGGCGCAAGUAUCAUGGAGGCCAAUUCCCGUCACCACAAGUCCACACAGUUGAUCCACCGCGUCGACCUUGUCACUGGGCAAAGGUAACAUCUACAUCCUUGUUGCCCCCCCACCUGCUCUACUAUUCCACGGCGGUUCCUCGGCGAAUCCGCGGAGGAAGGGUCCGAGAGAUCGGUUCCUAUCACCGGGAGUCCAUGACGUGUAGCUAGCCUCUCCGCGGCGUUGGCAUUGUUGCGCGUGGAAAGCUCCACCCGUAGCGCAUCCUCCUUGAUUUCCCCCGCAUACCCUUGGUCAUUCUAGGAACGCUAGAUAGCUAGCGUUUGUUUGAGAUUCAACAAAGAUCUGUCUAAUGUUUCUUGGAAUUUCUGGUCGUGUUCAUGGUGGUUGACUGUCGAAAUAGAUCCAAGGGGUUUCAUGGUGGUUUCGUGAGGUAGAUGGAGAGAGGAUUGCUCACUUGUGGGUCAUUUGUACAGGUCCGAUGUUGUCCAUGGCAACUCCCCUAAUCUAUAUGGUUGUCAAUUGCCAUGUGUUUUUGUAUGCUCUGCAAUUUGUAACAUGGCAAUUUUGUAUCUACAUUCCAAUAUAUGCACUCCUUUUCUGACCUUCUCAAUAUUUUUGCCAUUACCCAACUAAUAUUUUUGCCAUGUUACUGUAUAAAAUCAUGGCAACCGUUUGAACCUCACAAUUGGUAUUUUGGUAUAAUGUGACUUGAAACCUACAAUGUUGUUUUCAACCAAAUUACCAUGUUAUUUUUCUCAUUCUGGCAGGCCACAGUACCCACAUACACUAGUGAAUCAACUUUUUUCAACAUUUUUGCAACCCCACAACCUAACACUUGCCAUGUUACUAUAUAAAACAUGGCAACUUUCUCUGAACCUCAUAAAUUGUCAUUUUGCAUACUCUAUUUUCAAAAUUGCCAUCUUGUUUUCAAUAAGAUUGCCAUGUUAUUUUGUCAUUUUGGCAUGCCACACUACCUGACAUUCAUUCAAUGUUCAUUUCAACAUUUCCACUCUAGGCUCUGGCAUGUUUUUCCUUGCAUCCUAGUGCCUUUUAUGUUGCCACUUGGGGUUUCUGCCAUGCCCACACACUUUGAUGAUUAAGCAUGUCAUAUAAAAUACCUAUGAUUUUUCUAUAUUUAUUAAUUGCCAUGAGAGACAAAAUGAACAUAUCAACUAGAGAAUGUACAUCAAAAUAAUUUCCAUGGAAAAUACAUUCUUUUCACCAUUUCCAUAGUUUUAAUGUAACUGGAAUUUCUCUAUGUACAACGUAUUUGGCACUAUUUUUGUACAACUGUUGGCAUGCUUUUCUAUAUAUAUUUCCAUACAAUCCCCCACGGUUUGUUUAAACAUAGUUUCUUUUUGUCUUUUAUGUUUUUUUACAGCAUCAUGGUUCGCAACCACGAGGACAAUGAAGACGAGGACUUCAUGCCGGUGCCACGGGAUGAUGCGGCUGCUGGCAAACACGAAGGGAAGGAGGUAUUUGUUUUUUUUGCUUUGUUUGAUCCCUGGUGCAACUCUAGCUGAUAUGGCGGUCUAACUUCUUAUGGCAAUUAUAGUAUACUACACAUGGAACUAUAGCAUAAUUCAUAUGGAAAUUGCAUUUAGACUUCACAUGGCGAUUGCAAUAGUUGAUACAUGGCAACUAUAGCACACUACACAUGGAAACUAUAGUAUACUACAGAUGGCAAUUCCAUUAUAUGGCACAUGUCAACCAUAGCAUCCCGCAGUUUGGAAACACAACACACUUCCACAUGGCUUUUUUCUAGCGAGUGAACAUGCUAUUCUGUUUCAAAUGCACAAAUGACAACUUUAAAUUUUUAUUUCUAACGACCUUCAUUUUCAUGCUCAGUUUUUUCUAGAAGAAGAAACCACACAAUAAGGUUUGCAAGAACGAUUAACAGAACUUAACCAAAAAUCCAGUCCUGGGAAGAAGGCAGCUGCUACGAAGAUGGGGAUGCUGGCAUUGAUGGACACUCAAUGUACAAACUUAGUGAAUACUGCGUGCGAUUGGCUUCGGGAGAUUUAUUACCCUGCCUCGAGGGAUUUUGUCAUUUCAAGCCGUGGAAGGCGCCCUCUGGGUCAGGAUUACAUUUUUCCACCUUUGGUGUCCGCCGUGGCGGAAUGGAUGUACCUUACCAGGUGGACAACAAAGUUGAGGAACACUUGUUCCCUUGAUUGUUUCCUAGCGAGGAGUCCAUGCUGCUCAUCUCUGCCCUUGCAACUUCAUUGGGUGGUAUGAAAACCCAUGGUGACGUCUUUAAGAUGAAUAUCCUCAUGUUCCUAAUCUCGUCCGUCUUUGCGCCUACCACGUCCAUUUGACCAAUCAACAGAUGCUUUGCUAUCCUAGUAAAUGUCCUUCUUCCUUUUUCUUAUCUUUUGUUGUCCACCCUAACAUGCUUUUCAAUUGUUAUUUAUCCAUGCAUGCUAUAUUUUUUGAAUCGCAUGACAAGAUAAGCGAUGUUAUUAACAUGAAUUGGUGCAAGUUUAUUGCCGAAUUCCUACAUGAUUCCUUCAGUAAAAAUAUGUACAACAAGGGCUGCCGCCUUCAUCUCAUGGCAAGUGUUCUCUGUCUUCUUUUUUAAACUUUGUGUCAUAUGUGAUUUUCCAUUCAUUUAAAUCAUGGAACCUAAUGUUUGCCCUAUUUUCCCCUCCAUCUUAUUUGUGUUUUCCGGCUCAUGUACGUUGACAAACUUGACCUCUCUACCGUCGAUCUCGUCCCAUUCGGUGGCCCGCCUCCUCCAUAUAAGUUUGCCGUCUCUGCUUGGGCUUAUGACAUGGUUAAGGAUGUCCUUGCUGCAGACAAGAGAACUGAGACAUCGUAUGACAAACUCCAGGUUAGUUGCUCUUCCAUUUUAUUAAGUAGUAUGUUUGAUUGUGCAAUUGCCCUUUAUACUUCACAUUCUUUGAUAUGGCAUAUUCUGCAAAAUAGCUUGAACUUGCACCACUUUUUCAUUUUUUACGUUCCAUAAGCUGGCAAUUUUAUAAAAACAUACAUGAAAAUUUCAUACACAUUUUUACUUUUUGUUGUUAUUUUUUUCAACAUACGUGCGUUCCUUUUUCUGUUUGUGACUGGAGCCUCUUUUUACUUCUACAAUUUAUCGUUCUCUGUUCGUAAUACUGACCCCUCUUCACUAUCUGCAGCUAAUUGUCAAGCAUUCUAUCAACAAUAGCUUUUUGGGUGCCCCGCAUAAUUUGACCAAGUGGAUGGAUGUCCGUUAAGGUCCAUCUUGUCCCUUCGAGGUAAUUCAACACGCUUUUUUCACGCAUGCAUACAUGAUUCUUGCUAUCUGACAUUUUCCGAUCUCUUCUCCCCAUGUGUCUAUCCGUUUUGUUUGUAUCAAUUAGAUGAGGGGUAAUGUCGAGCAUUUAGUCAGCCAAUUUUCUUCUGGCAUGAGCAACCUUUGUCGGGGUAAUUGACCACGGGUACCCCGAAGACGGCAAGACAAUAUGUCAAGACAUUGGGGCUAGCAAAACCCCUCAGUCCGACUGCUCAGGCCGCCCAGGCGGCCCCUUGUCCAACUGCCCGGACCGACUCGCCACCUGGCCAGCUCCCCGCCCGGCUGCUCCAACCAGGCGGCUGCCGACUGCGCCAACCAGGCGGCUGCCCGAAGUCAACCGCCAACACCGACAAGACGACCAUACCCGACACUGUGCACACGUCACCUCAAGCCAUCAUGUACAGUGUCACUUGUCCCUGGGCACUAUUUAUGAAGUGACCCAGGAGACAAGUAUGACACCCCCACCAUGCCUCAUACAUGGCUUGGUUUGUAAGUUACCCAAGGUAGCUUACAACCAACCCAGCACCACCCACGCCCAAUACUCCUAUAUAAAGAGGCACACAUCCAUCCAUGCACACAUGCUCACGCCACACACACUUGGCCGGCCACAAUGGCUCCCUGGGAGCACUCCACUCCCCCUUGCUAGCUAGCUCAUACACACAUAUGAGACAUAUACAAAGUGAGAUGCCUAUGACACUGAGCUUAGACACAGCUCUAGGAGCAACUCUGUACCAGAUAUACCAGAUAUACUUAGACAUGCAGGAGUAGGGGUAUUAUCUCUUCGGAGAGCCCCGAACCUGGGUAAACCCCCGCGUGCUAUUUGCAUACCCGCUCCCGGAUAUUCCAGCAGCAGUCUUGCCCUCACACUAAGCCACCCUGUGGCAUCUGUCGACUCACACCCCCCGUGAGAAUACCACGACAGUUGGGGCCCACAGCAUGCCCCGUGACGCCCGCGCAUGCCACUGCCGCCUCCCCUCUGCUCUGAAGGAAAGACAGGAAAAGAAAGAUACGUCUGGGAAGAGAAAAACAAAAGUCGGGCCGGCUGGAGUCGUGAAUGGAAGAAUAGUCAGAGGCCCGGCUGACGUAAACGGGCCGGCUGCUAAAAAAAGUGGUGAGAGGCCGGCUGGUUCAGCACAAUGCGCCGGCUGAAGCAAAGAGAAAAGUCAGGCCAGGUGCCCAGCCAGCUGACUGAAAAAAAGAGAAGAAGAAGAAGGGGGAGAUAAAUGCGAGCUGGCUGCUCGUUUCCAGACGGCCGACUGCCCAGACAGAUGAAAAAGAAACCCGCGUCCGGCUGCCCACAACCGGACAAAGAGAAGAAGAAGAAAAAAGAAUCAACUUCAACAAAGAAGACAAAAUAGUUGCCGGGAGAUCCGGCUCGACUGCUCAACAGUCAGUCUGAAUCUCGGGGGCUACACCCAGCGGGUGCGCUGACGCGCCCCCGUGAGGAAGAAGACAAAGUAGUUGUCGGGAGAUCCGGCCCGACUGCUCAGCAGUCGGCCCAAAUCUCGGGGGCUACACCCAGCGGGUGCGCUGACGUGCCCCCAUCAGAAAGAAGACAAAGUAGUUGCCGAGAGAUCCGGCCCGACUACUCAGCAGUCGGCCCGAAUCUCGGGGGCUACACCCAGUGGGUGCGCUGGCGCGCCCCCACGGAAGAUUACAAGAAAACAAAAACAAGAGACAAAAGAAGAGUUUUUUCCGGCUGCUAGUAGCCAGCAGAAGAGAAGAAAGAAGAAAAAGGGCGCUGCCAGACGCCUCGCCGCCUGGCCGGCUGUGCCAAGCCAGCUCGGCCGCGUCCCGCUCACCCCCUGGCUGGUCAAGCCCGACCAGCUGGACCCUCCUCGAGCACCUAGAGGCUCGAGGGCUACACCCAGCAGGUGCGCCGGCGCACUCCGCGAGCGCCGAGCCGCGCUGGCUGUCUUCAGCAAACUCCGCUUCGCCUACACGAAAAUCAAUGUGAGCUAAUCACCCGCAUAUUUUUGCACCGCAAAAGCAGGAUAACCUCGAGCGAUGCUCGGGGGGCUAUCUCCGCAUUUUAUCACAGUUGCAUCACUGUUCGCCCCGGCGCCAGCAAGAGUUAGCCCGGGGGCUGGCCGCUUGGCAUGAGACGUUAGUUCCCGCAGACGGCUUAGUAGCAUGCGCGGUACCAAAGGCCCACUCUUAGUCACAGAUCACAGAGCGGCUGUCCGGCUAGCAAGAGUGAACGCUGGAGGUCACCCAUGCAAAAAACGUCCGGGAAGAAAAACGGUUUGGGUGACCCGGCCGUUUCCUUUACGAGUAUCUGGUUGGUCGAAUCUGCUCCUAGAGUCUAAGUACUGUACACUCCACUUCGCGGCCCACUCUCAGCUACAGACCACAGAGCGGCUGUCCGGCAAGCGAGAGCACAAGCCAAAGAGCGGAGGGAACACGAAAUAGAUUAAGGGGGCUCGAACGAAACCGAGUCGGCACCCUCCGCAUAAAACUUGCAAUGCUAAAAGCAAACAUUUUAUAUAUCUGCGCGGACUAACUUUGUCUUUUGCAUGAUCACUUCCGUGGGGAACCCCUCCCCCUCCUCGCUCGGAGGCUACACCCAGCGGGUGCGCUUGCGCGCCCCCGCCGGAAGCAAGCCGCACCGACUGCGAUCCGCAGCCGUCCAUCAUCGACAUCUUCUACAUCAACACCCGCUAAAAAACCUCCGCCCAACUUCGCCAAGUUGCCCGGAGGCUCGGGGGCUACUGUCGGGGUAAUUGACCACGGGUAUCCCGAAGAUGGCAAGACAAUAUUUCAAGACAUCGAGGCUAGCAAAGCCCCUCAGUCCGACUGCUCAGGCCGCCCAGGCGGCCCCCUGUCCGACUGCCGGGACCGACUCGCCACCCGGCCUGCUCCCGUCCGGCUGCUCCAACUAGCCGACUGCCGACUGCGCCAACCAGCCGGCUGCCCGAAGUCAACCGCCGACAUCGAUGAGACGGCCGUACCCGGCACUAUGCACACGUCACCUCAAGCCAUCAUGUACAGUGCCACUUGUCCCUAGGCACUAUUUAUGAAGUGACCCAGGAGACAAGUAUGACACCCCCACCAUGCCUCAUACAUGGCUUGGUUUGUAAGCUACCCAAGGUAGCUUACAACCAACGCCACCACCACCUACGCCCACUACUCCUAUAUAAAGGGGCACACAUCCAUCCAUGCACACAUGCUCACGCCACACACACUUGGCCGGCCACAAUGGCUCCCUGGGAGCACUCCGCUCCCCCUUGCUAGCUAGCUCAUACACACAUAUGAGACAUAUACAAAGCCAGAUGCCUAUGGCACUGAGCUUAGACACAGCUCCAGGAGCAACUCUGUACCAGAUAUACUAGAUAUACUCAGACAUGCAGAAGUAGGGGUAUUAUCUCUCAGGAGAGCCCCGAACCUGGGUAAACCCCCGCGUGCUAUUCGCUUACCCGCUCCCGGAUAUUCCAGCAGCAGUUUUGCCCUCACACUAAGCCACCCUGUGGCAUCUAUCAACUCGCAACCCCCUCAUGAGAAUACCACGACAACCUUCUUGGCAACUUUGUUCAGGGUUGGACAACAAUGUCGGGUGUAACACCCCGAUAAUUAUGCUACAGCGGAUCCCUGACUAAUGAUGCCACAUCAUCCCAUUUAAUCCCUCCUGGUUAAAGCCUAAGUCAAAUACAAAUUUAAAUUGCAAGUGAAACUUAAAGUUUCACAAACAUGGUUACAAAAUAGUUCACCAUUUAGCAAAUAAUCCAUAACAAAUAAUUGUUAAGGAAAACAACAUCACCACAAUGCUAAAUGGGCUAUAACAAUUAAAACAGUGCUAAAACAUCUCAUUUAAAUGAUUUUCCAUUUAUGCAAAAUUCAAACAAAUUCAAAUGCCUCCCAAACUUUUUGUGGCAGUGCCAAAUAUUGCAAUGUAUUUAUGUGAAAAGUUUCACAUUUUACAAAAAUCAUUUGCUAUCAAGAAAAAAUAAAUAGAAAUGAAUAAAAGAAACAAAAAAUAAUAAGAAAAGGGCCUACUACAACUGUGUCACUAGGCCCUAGUGGCCACAGUGCAAGGCCCAGCCCAUCUCCACCACCUCCUCCUCCUCUGUACAGGAGACAGGGAGGUCGUGGCGCUCAUCCAGGGCGCCAUUCCCAUGGAUGGCCACCACGUCGCCCCCACGCUAUAUCUACGUCCCUCGGAAACCCCAAACCGCCCUCUUCCUUUCCCCCCUCGUUUCGCUUUUGCCCCGUACCUCUACUGCUCUGUCCGUGUUCUGGGAACCAGGAUACCCAGACUUGCCUGCCUGCGGCCCACAGCGUGGCUUCAUCGACGACCUAGUAUGACCCAUCUACAACACCAACAAGUCAAGACCCUUGUGAGGGGCCAAGCCUCGUGAGGCGGACGACGCCAAGACCUUCGGAGGGAGAGGCCUCCCCGGGCUGCCUCCUAAAGAGCGGAGAUUCCUAUGAAGGUGCUCAACCUCAUGAGGCUGAGGUGACGCAAGCCAUGACGACCAAAGCCAGGCGGGCGCCAGCAAGCGCAGAGGAGCAGGUUUCCUCUUUGAUGCUAAGAAGGCAAGUGCAGGCGCGGAGUCCUGAGGAAUCAGUCAAAGAUUUCCAUUCCCAUGCAACAAGACCAAGACCGCCAGGACGGAUGCCAUCGCCGAGCCCACCACAGCGUCACGACCAGGAGCUUUGCAGGAGAAGACCACCUUUUGUCAGGAUAAAUGUACUACUUGUUCCCGUUCUAAUUGGCCACCGUGGAUCCCUUCCCGCCUACGUUUUGGGGAAGAGGACCAAGGCCACUAUAAGUAUAGGCUAGCCACCACCAUAGAGGAGGUCGGAUCCCUCCAACUCUCACACACACUAGAUCAUACCUCGCGAGGUUGUUCUUCCCUUGUACUAGUUCAUCCUUAGCCCCUCGUGAGGCAAAUCCAUCACAAGCAGGAGUAGGGUUUUACACCACAAGGUGGCCCGAACCUGGGUAAACUGCCGUGUCCAUCUUCUUCCUUGUUCACCGAGCUAGGCCGUGGGGGCGACGAACUGGUUGGCUGAAGGGGUUGAGUUCUUCGUGUGGGGAACGCGGUAAUUUCAAUUUUUUUCCUACGAUCACGCAAGAUCUAUCUAGGUGAUGCAUAACAACAAGAGGGGAGAGUGUGUCCAUGUACCCUUGUAGACCGAAAGCGGAAGUGUUCAAUAACGCGAUUGAUGUAGUCGAACUUCUUCGCGAUCCAACCGAUCAAGUACCGAACAUACGACACAUCCGCGUUUAGCACACGUUCAGCUCGAUGACGUCCCUCGUGCUCUUGAUCCAGUUGAGGAGGAGGGUGAGUUCUGUCAGCAUGACUGGGUGGCGACGACAAUGAUGAUGCUACUGGCGCAGGGCUUCGCCUAAGCACUACGAUGGUAUAAUCGAGGUGUGUAACUGUGGAGGGGGGCACCACACACGGUUAAGAGAAACUUGUGUGUCUUUGGGGUGCCCCCUUCCCACGUAUAUAAAGGAGGGAGGGAGAGAGGCCGGCCCUCGUAGGGGUGCGCCAAGUGUAGGGAGUCCUACUAGGACUCCCAAGUCCUAGUAGGAUUCACUUUCCUUUUCGGAGUAGGAAAGAAGGAAAGGAGGGACAGGGAGAAGGAAAGGGGGGGCCGCACCCCCACCCCUUGUCCAAUUCGGUUUGGCCAGGGGGAGGCGCGCGCCACCUUGUGGCCCUUCUUCCCUCUCUCCACUAAAGCCCGAUAAGGCCCAUUAACUUCCCCCGGCGAAUUCCCGUAACUCUCCGGUACUCCGAAAAAUACUCGAAUCACUCAGAACCAUUCUGAUGUCCGAAUAUAGCCUUCCAAUAUAUCAAUAUUUACCUCUCGACCAUUUGGAGACUCCUUGUCAUGUGCAUGAUCUCAUUCGGGACUCCGAACAAACUUCGGUCAUAAAAUCACAUAACUCAUAAUACAAAUCAUCAUCGAACGUUAAGCAUGCGGACCCUAUAGGUUCGAGAACUAUGUAGACAUGGCCGAGACACAUCUCCGAUCAAUAACCAAUAGCGGAACCUGGAUGCUCAUAUUGGCUCCUACAUAUUCUACGAAGAUCUUUAUCGGUCAAACCGCAUAACAACAUACGUUGUUCCCUUUGUCAUCGGUAUGUUGCUUGCCCGAGAUUCGAUCGUCGGUAUCAUCAUACCUAGUUCAAUCUCGUUACCGGCAAGUCUCUUUACUCGUUCCAUAAUACUCCAUGUCACAACUAACUCAUUAGUCACAAUGCUUGCAAGCCUUAUAGUGAUGAGUAUUACCGAGUGGGCCCAGAGAUACCUCUCCGAAACACAGAGUGACAAAUCCUACUCUCGAUCUAUGCCAACCCAACAAACACCUUUGAAGGCACCUGUAGAGCAUCUUUAUAAUCACCCAUUUAUGUUGUGACGUUUGAUAGCACACAAGGUGUUCCUCCGGAGUUGCAUAAUCUCAUAGUCUGAGGAACGUGCAUAAGUCAUGAACAAAGCAGUAGCAAUGAAACUGUAAUGAUCAUAAUUCUAAGCUAACGGAUGGGUCUUGUCCAUCACAUCAUUCUUCUAAUGAUGUGAUCCCGUUCAUCAAAUGACAACACAUGUCUAUGGUUAGGAAACAUAACCAUCUUUGAUUAAUGAGCUAGUCAAGUAGAGGCAUACUAGGGACACUAUGUUUUGUCUAUGUAUUCACACAUGUACUAAGUUUUCGGUCAAUACAUUUCUAGCAUGAAUAAUAAACAUUUAUUAUGAUAUAAGGAAAUAUAAAUAGCAAUUUUAUUAUUGCCUCUAGGCCAUAUUUCUUUCAGUCUCCCACUUGCACUAGAGUCAAUAAUCUAGUUCACAUCGCCAUGUGAUUUAACAUCAAUAGUUCACAUCUGUAUUUGAUUAACACCCAUAGUUCACAUCACCAUGUGACCAACAACCAAAGGGUUUACUAGAGUACUAAGGUGAUUAAUACCCAAAGAGUACUAAGGUGUGAUCAUGUUUUGCUUAUGAGAGAAGUUUAGUCAACGGGUCUGUCACAUUUAGAGCCGUAUGUAUUUUCAAAUAUUCUAUGUCUACAAUGCUCUGCAUGGAGCUACUCUAGCUAAUUGCUCCCACUUUCAAUAUGUAUCCAGAUUGAGACUUAGAGUCAUCUGGAUUGGUCUAAAAGCUUGCAUCGACGUAACUCUUUACGACAAGAUCUUUAUCACCUCCAUAACCGAGAAAUAUUUCCUUAGUCCUCACUAAGGAUAAUUUUGACCGCUGUCCAGUGAUCUACUCUUAGAUCACUAUUGUACCCCCUUGCCAAACUCAUGGCAAGGUGCACAAUAGGUCUGGUACAUAGCACAACAUACAUUAUAGAACCUAUGACUGUGGCAUAGGGAAUGGCUUUCAUUCUCUUUCUAUCUUUUGUCGUGGUCGGGCUUUGAGUCUUACUCAACUUUACACCUUGUAAUACAGGCAAGAACUCCUUCUUUGACUGAUCCAGUUUGAACUCUUUCAAAAAACUUGUCAAGGUAUGUACUCAUUGAAAAAUCUUUAUCAAGCAUCUUGAUCUAUCUCUAUAGAUCUUGAUGCCCAAUAUGUAAGCAGCUUCACCGAGGUCUUUCUUUGAAAAUCUCCUUUCAAACUCUCCUUUAUGCUUUCUAGAAAAUUCUACAUCAUUUCCGAUCAACAAUAUCAUUCACAUAUACUUAUUAGAAAGGCUAUAGUGCUCCCACUCACUUUCUUGUAAAUACAGGCUUCACCGCAAGUCUGUAUAAAACUAUAUGCUUUAAUCAACUCAUCAAAGCAUAUAUUCCAACUCCGAGAUGCUUGCACCAGUCCAUAGAUGGAUCGCUGGAGCUUGCACACCUUGUUAGUACCUUUAGGAUUGAAAAAACCUUCUGUUUGCAUCAUAUACAACUAUUCUUUAAAGAAAUAUACAUUUAAGGAAUGCAGUUUUGACAACCAUUUGCGAGAUUUCAUAAAAUAUGGCAACUGCUAACUUGAUUCAGACGGUUUUAAGCAUCGCUACAGUUGAGAAAAUCUCAUUGUAGUCAACACCUUGAACCUUGUUGAAAACCUUUUUCUGACAAGUCGUGCUUUGUAGAUAGUAACACUACUAUCAACAUCGUCUUCCUCUUGAAGAUCCAUUUAUUUUCUAUGGCUUGCCAAUCAUCGGGCAAGUCCACCAGAGUCCACACUUUGUUCUCAUAUAUGGAUCCUAUCUCAGAUUUCAUGGCCUCAAGCUAUUUCGCGGAAUCUGGGCUCAUUAUCACUUCGUCAUAGUUCGUAGGUUCAUCAUGGUCUAGUAACAUGACUUCCAGAAUAUGAUUACCGUACCACUCUAGUGUGGAUCGUACUCUGGUUGACCUACGAGGUUCGUUAGUAACUUGAUCUGAAGUUUCAUGAUAAUCAUCAUUAGCUUCCUCACUAAUUGGUGUAGGAAUCACUGGAACUGAUUUCUAUGAUGAACUACUUUCCAAUUUGGGAGAAGGUACAAUUACCUCAUCAAGUUCUACUUUCCUCCCACUCACUUCUUUCGAGAGAAACUCCUUCUCUAGAAAGGAUCCAUUCUUAGCAACGAAUAUCUUGCCUUCGGAUCUGUGAUAGAAGGAGUACCCAACAGUUUCCUUUAGGCAUCUUAUGAAGACAUAGUUCUCCAAUUUGGGUUCGAGCUUAUCAGGUUGAAACUUUUUCACAUAAGCAUCGCAGCCCCAAACUUUAAGAAACUACAACUUUGCUUUCUUGCCAAACCAUAGUUCAUAAGGCGUCGUCUCAACGGAUUUUGAUGGUGCCCUGUAUAACGUGAAUGCAACUGUCUCUAAUGCAUAAUCCCAAAACGAUAGUGGUAAAUCGGUAAGAGACAUCAUAGAUCACACCAUAUCUAAUAAAGUGCGGUUACGACGUUCGGACACACCAUUACGCCGUGGUGUUCGAGGUGGCGUGAGCUGUGAAACUAUUCCACAUUGUUUUAAAUGAAGGCCAAAUUCAUAACUCAAAUAUUCACCUCCACGAUCAGAUCGUAGAAACUUUAUUUUCUUGUUACAAUAAUUCUCUACUUCACUAUGAAAUUCUUUGAACUUUUCAAAUGUUUUAGACUUGUGUUUCAUUAAGUAGAUAUACCCAUAUCUUCUCAAAUCAUUUGUGAAGGUCAGAAAAUAACGAUACCUGCCACGAGCCUCAACACUCAUUGGAUCACAUACAUUGGUAUGUAUUAUUUCCAUUAACUCAUUAUCUUGUUCCAUUGUUUCAGAAAACGGAGCUUUAGUCAUCUUGCCCAUAAGGCACGGUUCGCAAGUAUCAAAUGAUUCAUAAUCAAGUGAGCCCAUCAUCAUGGAGUUUCUUCAUGCGCUUUACACCAAUAUGACCUAAACGUCAAUGCCACAAAUAUGUUGCACUAUCAUUAUCAACUUUGCAUCUUUUGGCAUCAAUAUUAUGAAUAUGUGUAUUACUACGAUCAAGAUUCAAUAAGCCAUCAACAAUUGGGUGUAUGACCAUAGAAGGUUUUAUUCAUGUAAACAAAAUAAUAAUUUGUUGGGGAAUGUUGCAGAAAAUAAAAUUUUUCCUACGGUUUCACCAAGAUCCAUCUAUGAGUUCAUCUAAGCAACGAGUGAAAAGAGAGAUGCAUCUACAUACCACUUUGUAGAUCGCGAGCGGAAGCGUUCAAAAGAACGGGGUUGAGGUAGUCGUUCUCAUCAUGAUCCUAUCACCGGAGAUCCUAGCGCCGAACGGACGACACCUCCGCGUUCAACACACAUACGGUCAGCGUGAUGUCUCCUCCGUCUUGAUCCAGCAAGGGGGAAGGAGAGGUUGAUGAUGAUCCAGUAGCACGACGGUGUGGUGGUGGAUGCAGCAGAACUCCGGCAGGGCUUCGCCAAGCUGCUGCGGGAGGAGGAGGAGGUGUAGCAGGGGGAGGGAGGUGCCAAGACUUUGGUGCGGCUGCCCUCCCCCCUGCCCUCCUUUAUAUAGGCCCCCAGGGGGGGGGGGAGCCGGCCCUGGGAGAUGCAAUCUCCCAAGGGGGCGGCGGCUAGGGGGGGUGGAGUGCCCCCCAAGGCAAGUGGUGCGCCCCCCCACCUAGGGUUUCCAACCCUAGGCGCAGGGGGGGGCCCAAGGGGGGCGCACCAGCCCACUAGGGGCUGGUUCCCCUCCCACUUCAGCCCACGGGGCCCUCCGGGAUAGGUGGACCCACCCGGUGGACCCCCGGGACCCUUCCGGUGGUCCCGGUACAAUACCGGGUGACCCCGAAACUUUCCCGAUGGCCGAAACAGCACUUCCUAUAUAGUUUUCUUUACCUCCGGACCAUUCCGGAACUCCUCGUGACGUCCGGGAUCUCAUCCGGGACUCUAAACAACAUUCGGUUUGCUGCAUACUCAUAUUCAUAUAACCCUAGCGUCACCGAACCUUAAGUGUGUAGACCCUACGGGUUCGGGAGACAUGCAGACAUGACCGAGACAGCUCUCCGGUCAAUAACCAACAGUGGGAUCUGGAUACCCAUGUUGGCUCCCACAUACUCCUUGAUGAUCUCAUCGAAUGAACCACGAUGUCGAGGGUUCAAGCAACCCCGUAUACUAUUCCCUUUGUCAGACGGUAUGUUACUUACCCGAGACUCGAUCGUCGGUAUCCCAAUACCUCGUUCAGUCUCGUUACCGGCAAGUCACUUUACUCAUACCGUAAUGCAUGAUCCCAUGACUAGACACUUGGUCACUCUGAGCUCAUUUUGAUGAUGCACUACCGAGUGGGCCCAGUGAUACCUCUCCGUAACACGGAGUGACAAAUCCCAGUCUCGAUCCGUGUCAACCCAACAGACAUUUUCGGAGAUACCUGUAGUGCACCUUUAUAGUCACCCAGUUACGUUGUGACGUUUGGUACACCCAAAGCACUCCUACAGUAUCCCGAAGUUACACGAUCUCAUGGUCUACGGAAGAGAUACUUGACAUAGGAAAAGCUCUAGCAAAACGAACUACACGAUCUUGUGCUAUGCUUAGGAAUGGGUCUUGUCCAUCACAUCAUUCUCCUAAUGAUGUGAUCCCGUUGUCAAUGACAUCUAAUGUCCAUAGUGAGGAAACCAUGACUAUCCGUUGACCAACGAGCUAGUCAACUAGAGGCUUACUAGGGACGUAUUGUGGUCUAUGUAUUCACACGUGUAUUACGAUUUCCGGAUAAUACAAUUAUAGCAUGAAUAAAAGACAAUUAUCAUGAACAAGGAAAUAUAAUAAUAAUCCUUUUAUUAUUGCCUCUAGGGCAUAUUUCCAACAGUCUCCCACUUGCACUAGAGUCAAUAAUCUAGUUACAUUGUGAUGAAUCGAACACCCAUAGAGUUCUGGUGUUGAUCAUGUUUUGCUCACGAGAGAGGUUUAGUCAACGGAUCUGUGACAUUCAGAUCUGUAUGUACUUUGCAAAUAUCUAUGUCUCCAUCUUGAACAUUUUCACGGAUGGAGUUGAAGCGACGCUUGAUGUGCCUGGUCUUCUUGUGAAACCUAGGCUCCUUGGCAAGGGCAAUAGCUCCAGUGUUGUCACAGAAGAGUUUGAUCGGCCCCGACGCAUUGGGUAUUACUCCUAGGUCGGUGAUGAACUCCUUCACCCAAAUUGCUUCAUGCGCUGCCUCCGAGGCUGCCAUGUACUCCGCUUCACAUGUAGAUCCCGCCACGACGCUCUGCUUGCAGCUGCACCAGCUUACUGCUCCACCAUUCAACAUAUACGCAUAUCCGGUUUGUGACUUAGAGUCAUCCAGAUCUGUGUCGAAGCUAGCGUCGACGUAACCCUUUACGACGAGCUCUUCGUCACCUCCAUAAACGAGAAACAUGUCCUUUGUCCUUUUCAGGUACUUCAGGAUAUUCUUGACCGCUGUCCAGUGUUCCUUGCCGGGAUUACUUUGGUACCUUCCUACCAAACUUACGGCAAGGUUUACAUCAGGUCUGGUACACAACAUGGCAUACAUAAUAGAUCCUAUGGCUGAGGCAUAGGGGAUGACGCUCAUCUCUUCUUUAUCUUUUGCCGUGGUCGGGCAUUGAGCUGAGCUCAAUCUCACACCUUGCAGUACAGGCAAGAACCCUUUCUUGGACUGAUCCAUUUUGAACUUCUUCAAAAUCUUAUCAAGGUAUGUGCUUUGUGAAAGACCUAUGAGGCGUCUCGAUCUUUCCCUAUAGAUUUUGAUGCCUAAUAUGUAAGCAGCUUCUCCAAGGUCCUUCUUGAAAAACACUUAUUCAAGUAGGCCUUAAUGCUGUCCAAGAAUUCUAUAUCAUUUCCCAUCAAAAGUAUGUCAUCUACAUAUAAUAUGAGAAAUGCUACAGAGCUCCCACUCACUUUCUUGUAAACGCAGGCUUCUCCAUAAGUCUGCAUAAACCCAAACGCUUUGAUCAUCUCAUCAAAGCGAAUGUUCCAACUCCGAGAUGCUUGCACCAGCCCAUAAAUGGAUCGCUGGAGCUUGCACACUUUGUUAGCAUUCUUAGGAUCGACAAAACCUUCUGGCUGCAUCAUAUACAGCUCUUCCUUAAGAUAACCGUUAAGGAAUGCCGUUUUGUCGUCCAUCUGCCAUAUCUCAUAAUCAUAGUAUGCAGCAAUUGCUAACAUGAUUCGGACGGACUUAAGCUUCGCUACGGGAGAGAAAGUCUCAUCAUAGUCAAUCCCUUGAACUUGCGGAUAACCCUUAGCGACAAGUCGAGCUUUAUAGAUGGUGACAUUACCAUCCGCGUCCGUCUUCUUCUUAAAGAUCCAUUUGUUUUCUAUCGUUCGCCGAUCAUCGGGCAAGUCAGUCAAAGUCCAUACUUUGUUUUCAUACAUGGAUUCUAUCUCGGAUUGCAUGGCUUCUAGCCAUUUGUUGGAAUCUGGGCCCGCCAUCGCUUCUUCAUAGUUCGAAGGUUCACCGUUGUCUAACAACAUGAUUUCCAGGACAGGGUUGCCAUACCACUCUGGUGUGGAACGUGUCCUUGUGGACCUACGAAGUUCAGUAGCAACUUGAUCAGAAGUACCUUGAUCAUCAUCAUUAAUUUCCUCUGCAGUCGGUGUAGGCACCACAGGAAUGUUUUCCUGAGCUGCACUACUUUCCGGUUCAAGAGGUAGUACUUCAUCGAGUUCUACUUUCCUCCCACUUACUCCUUUCGAUAGAAACUCUUUUUCCAGAAAGGAUCCGUUCUUGGCAACAAAGAUCUUGCCCUCGGAUCUUAAGUAGAAGGUAUACCCAAUGGUUUCCUUAGGGUAUCCUAUGAAGACACAUUUUUCCGACUUGGGUUCGAGCUUUUCAGGUUGAAGUUUCUUGACAUAAGCAUCACAUCCGCAAACUUUUAGAAACGACAGCUUAGGUUUCUUCCCAAACCAUAAUUCAUACGGUGUCGUCUCAACGGAUUUAGACGGUGCCCUAUUUAAAGUGAAUGUAGCUGUCUCUAGAGCGUAUCCCCAAAAUGAUAGCAGUAAAUCGGUAAGAGACAUCAUAGAUCGCACCAUAUCCAAUAGAGUGCGAUUACGAUGUUCGGACACAUUGUUACACUGAGGUGUUCCAGGCGGCGUGAGUUGUGAAACGAUUCCACAUUUUCUUAAGUGUGUACCAAAUUCGUGACUUAAAUAUUCUCCUCCACGAUCCGAUCAUAAGAGUUUUAUCUUUCGGUCACGUUGAUUCUCUACUUCAUUCUGAAAUUCCUUGAACUUUUCAAAGGUCUCAGACUUGUGUUUCAUCAAGUAGACAUACCCAUAUCUACUCAAGUCAUCAGUGAGAGUGAGAACAUAACGAUAUCCUCUGCGAGCCUCAACGCUCAUUGGACCACACACAUUAGUAUGUAUGAUUUCCAAUAAGUUGGUUGCUCGCUCCAUUGUUCCGGAGAACGGGGUCUUGGUCAUUUUGCCCAUGAGGCAUGGUUCGCAUGUGUCAAAUGAUUCAUAAUCUAGAGACUCUAAAAGUCCAUCAGCAUGGAGCUUCUUCAUGCGCUUGACACCAAUGUGACCAAGGCGGCAGUGCCACAAGUAUGUGGGACUAUCGUUAUCAACUUGACAUCUUUUGGUAUUCACACUACGAAUAUGUGUAACAUUACGUUCGAGAUUCAUUAAGAAUAAACCAUUGACCAUCGGGGCAUGACCAUAAAACAUAUCUCUCAUAUAAAUAGAACAACCAUUAUUCUCGGAUUUAAAUGAGUAGCCAUCUCGUAUCAAACGAGAUCCAGAUACAAUGUUCAUGCUCAAACUUGGCACUAAAUAACAAUUAUUGAGGUUUAAAACUAACCCCGUAGGUAAAUGUAGAGGUAGCGUGCCGACGACGAUCACAUCGACCUUGGAACCAUUCCCGACGCGCAUCGUCACCUCGUCCUUCGCCAGUCUCCGCUUAUUCCGCAGCUCCUGCUGUGAGUUACAAAUGUGAGCAACGGCACCGGUAUCAAAUACCCAGGAGUUACUACGAGUACUGGUAAGGUACACAUCAAUUACAUGUAUAUCAAAUAUACCUUUAGUGUUGCCGGCCUUCUUGUCCGCUAUGUAUUUGGGGCAGUUCCGCUUCCAGUGACCCUUCUCUUUGCAAUAAAAGCACUCAGUCUCAGGCUUGGGUCCAUUCUUUGACUUCUUCUCGGCAACUAGCUUACCGGGCGCGGCAACAUCUUUGCUAUCCUUCUUGAAGUUCUUCUUACCCUUGCCCUUCUUGAACUUAGUGGUCUUAUUGACCAUCAACACUUGAUGUUCUUUCUUGAUUUCAACCUCUGCUGACUUCAGCAUUGAAAAUACCUCAGGAAUGGUCUUCACCACCCCCUGCAUAUUGUAGUUCAGCACAAAGCUCUUGUAGCUUGGUGGGAGCGACUGAAGGAUUCUGUCAAUGACCGCCUCGUCCGGGAGGUUGGUCUCCAGCUGGGACAGGCGGUUGUGCAACCCAGAUAUUUUGAGUAUGUGCUCACUGACAGAACUGUUUUCCUCCAUCUUACAACUAUAGAACUUGUAGGAGACUUCAUAUCUCUCGACCCGGGCAUGAGCUUGGAAAACCAUUUUCAGCUCCUCGAACAUCUCAUAUGCUCCGUGUUUCUCAAAAUGCUUUUGGAGCCCCGGUUCUAAGCUGUAAAGCAUGCCGCACUGAACGAGGGAGUAAUCAUCAGCACGUGAUUGCCAAGUGUUCAUAACGUCUUGGUUCUCUGGGAUGGGUGCUUCACCUAGCGGUGCAUCUAGGACAUAAUCUUUUUUGGCUGCUAUGAGGAUGAUCCUCAGGUUCCGGACCCAGUCCGAAUAGUUGCUGCCAUCAUCUUUCAGCUUGGUUUUCUCUAGGAACGCGUUGAAGUUCAUGUUGACAUGAGCGUUGGCCAUUUGGUCUACAAGACAUAUUUUGCAAAAGUUUUAGACUAAGUUCAUGAUAAUUAAGUUCAUCUAAUCAAAUUAUUUAAUGAACUCCCACUCAGAUUAGACAUCCCUCUAGUCAUCUAAGUGUUGCACGAUCCGAGUCGACUAGGCCGUGUCCGAUCAUCACGUGAGACGGACUAGUCAUCAUCGGUGAACAUCUCCAUGUUGAUCGUAUCUUCAAUACGACUCAUGUUCGACCUUUCGGUCUCUGUGUUCCGAGGCCAUGUCUGUACAUGCUAGGCUCGUCAAGUUAACCCUAAGUGUUCUGCAUGUGUAAAUCUGUCUUACACCCGUUGUAUGUGAACGUAAGGAUCUAUCACACCCGAUCAUCACGUGGUGCUUCGAAACGACGAACUUUAGCAAUGAUGCACAUUUAGGGGGAACACUUUCUUGAAAUUAUUAUAAGGGAUCAUCUUAUUUACUACCGCCGUUCUAAGUAAACAAGAUGCAUAAAACAUAAUAAACAUCACAUGCAAUUAUAUAGUAGUGACAUGAUAUGGCCAAUAUCAUAUAGCUCCUUCGAUCUCCAUCUUCGGGGCUCCAUGAUCAUCUUCAUCACCGGCAUGACACCAUGAUCUCCAUCAUCAUGAUCUCCAUCAUUGUGUCUUCAUGAAGUUGUCACGCCAACGACUACUUCUACUUCUAAGGCUAACACGUUUAGCAAUAAAGUAAAGUAAUUUACUUGGCGUUCUUCAAUGACACGCAGGUCAUACAAAAAAUAAAGACAACUCCUAUGGCUCCUGCCGGUUGUCAUACUCAUCGACAUGCAAGUCGUGAUUCCUAUUACAAGAACAUGAUCUCAUACAUCACAAUAUAUCAUUCAUCAUCCAUCACAACUUCUGGCCAUAUCACAUCACAUGACAAUUGCUGCAAAAACAAGUUAGACGUCCUCUAAUUGUUGUUGCAUCUUUUACGUGGCUGCAAUUGGGUUCUAGCAAGAACGUUUCCUUACCUACGAAUAACCACAAUGUGAUUUUGUCAACUUCUAUUUACCCUUCAUAAGGACCCUUUUCAUCUAAUUCGCUCCAACUAAAGUAGGAGAGACAGACACCCGCUAGCCACCUUAUGCAACUAGUGCAUGUCAGUCGGUGGAACCUGUCUCACGUAAGCAUACGUGUAAGGUCGGUCCGGGCCGCUUCAUCCCACAAUACCGCUGAAGCAAGAAAAGACUAGUAGCGGCAAGCAAGUUGACAAGAUCUGCGCCCACAACAAAAUUGUGUUCUACUCGUGCAAUAGAGAACUACGCAUAGACCUAGCUCAUGAUGCCACUGUUGGGGAACAUUGCAGAAAAUAAAAUUUUUCCUAUGGUUUCACCAAUAUCCAUCUAUGAGUUCAUCUAAGCAACGAGUGAAAGGAGAGAUGCAUCUACAUACCACUUUGUAGAUCGUGAGCGGAAGCGUUCAAAAGAACGGGGUUGAGGUAGUCGUUCUCGUCGUGAUCCUAUCACCGGAGAUCCUAGCGCCGAACGGACGACACCUCCGCGUUCAACACAUGUAUGGUCAGCGUGAUGUCUCCUCCGUCUUGAUCCAGCAAGGGGGAAGGAGAGGUUGAUGAUGAUCCAGCAGCAUGCUGGCGUGGUGGUGGAUGCAGCAGAACUCCGGCAGGGCUUCGCCAAGCUGCUGCGGGAGGAGGACGAGGUGUAGCAGGGGGAGGGAGGCACCAAGACUUGGGUGCGGCUGCCCUCCCCCCUGCCCUCCUUNNNNNNNNNNNNNNNNNNNNNNNNNNNNNNNNNNNNNNNNNNNNNNNNNNNNNNNNNNNNNNNNNNNNNNNNNNNNNNNNNNNNNNNNNNNNNNNNNNNNNNNNNNNNNNNNNNNNNNNNNNNNNNNNNNNNNNNNNNNNNNNNNNNNNNNNNNNNNNNNNNNNNNNNNNNNNNNNNNNNNNNNNNNNNNNNNNNNNNNNNNNNNNNNNNNNNNNNNNNNNNNNNNNNNNNNNNNNNNNNNNNNNNNNNNNNNNNNNNNNNNNNNNNNNNNNNNNNNNNNNNNNNNNNNNNNNNNNNNNNNNNNNNNNNNNNNNNNNNNNNNNNNNNNNNNNNNNNNNNNNNNNNNNNNNNNNNNNNNNNNNNNNNNNNNNNNNNNNNNNNNNNNNNNNNNNNNNNNNNNNNNNNNNNNNNNNNNNNNNNNNNNNNNNNNNNNNNNNNNNNNNNNNNNNNNNNCUCCCAAGGGGGCGGCGGCCGGGGGGGGGGGUGGAGUGCCCCCCAAGGCAAGUGGUGCGCCCCCCUAGGGUUUCCAACCCUAGGCAUAGGGGGGCCCAAGGGGGGGCGCACCAGCCCACUAGGGGCUGGUUCCCCUCCCACUUCAGCCCAUGGGGCCCUCCGGGAUAGGUGGCCCCACCCGGUGGACCCCCGGGACCCUUACAGUGGUCCCGGUACAAUACCGGGUGACCCCGAAACUUUCCCGAUGGCCGGAACAACACUUCCUAUAUAGUUUUCUUUACCUCCGGACCAUUCUGGAACUCCUCGUGACGUCCGGGAUCUCAUCCGGGACUCCAAACAACAUUCGGUUUGCUGCAUACUCAUAUUCAUACAACCCUAGCGUCACCGAACCUUAAGUGUGUAGACCCUACGGGUUCGGGAGACAUGCAGACAUGACCGAGACAGCUCUCCGGUCAAUAACCAACAGCGGGAUCUGGAUACCCAUGUUGGCUCCCACAUACUCCUUGAUGAUCUCAUCGGAUGAACCACGAUGUCGAGGGUUCAAGCAACCCCGUAUACUAUUCCCUUUGUCAGACGGUAUGUUACUUGCCCGAGACUCGAUCGUCGGUAUCCCAAUACCUCGUUCAGUCUCGUUACCGGCAAGUCACUUUACUCGUACCGUAAUGCAUGAUCCCGUGACCAGACACUUGGUCACUUUGAGCUCAUUUUGAUGAUGCACUACCGAGUGGGCCCAGUGAUACCUCUUCGUAACACGGAGUGACAAAUCCCAGUCUCGAUCCGUGUCAACCCAACAGACACUUUCGGAGAUACCUGUAGUGCACCUUUAUAGUCACCCAGUUACGUUGUGACGUUUGGUACACCCAAAGCACUCCUACGGUAUCCGGGAGUUACACGAUCUCAUGGUCUAAGGAAGAGAUACUUGACAUUGGAAAAGCUCUAGCAAAACGAACUACACGAUCUUGUGCUAUGCUUAGGAAUGGGUCUUGUCCAUCACAUCAUUCUCCUAAUGAUGUGAUCCCGUUGUCAACGACAUCUAAUGUCCAUAGUCAGGAAACCAUGACUAUCUGUUGACCAACGAGCUAGUCAACUAGAGGCUUACUAGGGACGUAUUGUGGUCUAUGUAUUCACACGCGUAUUACAAUUUCCGGAUAAUACAAUUAUAGCAUGAAUAAAAGACAAUUAUCAUGAACAAGGAAAUAUAAUAAUAAUCCUUUUAUUAUUGCCUCUAGGGCAUAUUUCCAACACAAUUAAUCUCUGUCUUAGAUGAAUAACCGUAUCACAAUAAACAUGAUCUAAUCAUAUUUAUGCUCAAUGCAAACACCAAAUAAUAUUUAUUUAGGUUCAACACUAAUCUCGAAAGUAUAGGGAGUGUGCGAUGAUGAUCAUAUCAAUCUUGGAACCACUUCCAACACACAUCGUCACUUCACCCUCAACUAGUCUCUGUUUAUUCUGUAACUCCUGUUUCGAGUUACUAAUCUUAGCAACUGAACAAGUAUCGAAUACCCAGGGCUACUAUGAACACUAGUAAGGAACACAUCAGUAACCUGUAUAUCAAAAUACCUUUGUUCACUUUGCCAUCCUUCUUAUCCACCAAAUAUGUGGGGUAGUUCUGCUUCCAGUGACCAUUUCCUUUGCAGUAGAAGCACUCAGUUUCAGGCUUAGGUCUAGCUUUGGGCUUGUUCACGAGAGUGACAACUUGCUUGCCAUUCUACUAGAAGUUCCCUUUCUUUCCCUUGCCCUUUUCUUGAAACUAGUGGUCUUGUCAAUCAUAAACACGUGAUGCUCUUUCUUGAUUUCUACCUUCAUCGAUUUCAGCAUCACGAAGAGCUCGGGAAUCGUUUUUGCCAUCCCUUGCAUACUAUAGUUCAUCAUGAAGUUCCAGUAACUUGAUGAUGGUGACUAGAGAAUUCUUUCAAUCACUAUCUUAUCUGGAAGAUUAACUCCCACUUGAUUCAAGCGAUUGUAGUACCCAGACAUUCUGAGCACAUGGUCACUAGCUGAACAAUUCUCUUCCAUCUUUUUAGGCGAAGUACUUGUCAGAGGUCUCAUACCUCUUGACAUGGGCAUGAGUCUGAAAUAACAAUUUCAGCUCUUCGAACAUCUCAUAUGCUCCCUGGUUUUCAAAAACGUUUUUGAAGUCCCGGUUCUAAGCGGUACAGCAUGGUGCAAAAAACUAUCAAGUAGUCAUCAUAUUAAGCUAGCCAAAUGUUCAUAACGUCUGCAUCUGCUCCUGCAAUAGGUUUGUCACCUAGCGGUGCAUCAAGGACAUAAUUCUUCUGUGCAGCAAUGAGGAUAAACCUCAGAUCACGGACGCAAUCCGCAUCAUUGCUAUUAUCAUCUUUCAACUUAGUUUUCUCUAGGAACAUAUAAAAAAACAUAGGGAAGCUACAACACGAGCUAUUGAUCUACACCAUAAUUUGCAAAAUACUAUCAGGACUAAGUUCAUGAUAAAUUAAAGUUCAAUUAAUCAUAUUACUUAAGAACUCCCACUUAGAUAGACAUCCUGUAGUUAUCUAAAUGAUCACGUGAUGCAGUUUAACUAAACCAUGUCCGAUCAUCACGUGAGAUGGAGUAGUUUUCAAUGGUGAACAUCACUAUGUUGAUCAUAUCUACUAUAUGAUUCACGCUCGACCUUUCGGUCUCCAGUGUUCCGAGGCCAUAUCUGCAUAUGCUAGGCUCGUCAAGUUUAACCAGAGUAUUCUGCAUGUGCAAAACUGGCUUGCCCCCGUUGUAUGUGAACGUAGAGCUUAUCACACCCGAUCAUCAGGUGGUGUCUCAGCACGAGGAACUGUCACAACGGUGCAUACUCAGGGAGAACACUUAUACCUUGAAUUUUUAGUAAGGGAUCAUCUUAUAAUGCUACCGCCGUACUAAGAAAAAUAAGAUGCAUAAAAGAUAAACAUCACAUGCAAUCAAAAUAUGGACAUGAUAUGGCCAUCAUCAUCUUGUGCUCAUGAUCUCCAUCAUCGAAGCAUCGUCAUGAUCUCCAUCGUCACCGGCAUGACACCAUGAUCUCCAUUGUAGCAUCGUUGUCGUCUCGCCAACUAUUGUUAUUACGACUAUCACUACCGCUUAGUGAUAAAGUAAAACAAUUACAUGGCGAUUGCAUUGCAUACAAUUAAGCGACAACCAUAUGGCUCCUGCUAGUUGCCGAUAACUUUGUUACAAAACAUGAUCAUCUCAUACAACAAUUUAUAUCACAUCAUGCCUUGACCAUAUCACAAGACAUCAAGUCCUGCAAAAACAAGUUAGACGUCCUCUACUUUGUUGUUGCAAGUUUUACAUGGCUGCUACGGGCUUCUAGUAAGAACUGUUCUUACACAAGCAUCAAAACCACAAUGAUUUUUCAUCAAGUGUGCUGUUUUAACCUUCAACAAGGACCAGCCGUAGUCAAACUCGAUUCAACUAAAGUUGGAGAAACAGACACCCGCCAACCACCUAUUUGCAAAAGCAUGUCGGUAGAACCAGUCUCGUGAACACGGUCAUGUAAUAUCGCUUCGGGCUGCUUCAUCCAACAAUACCGCCGAAUCAAAGUAAGACGUUGGUGGUAAGCAGUAUGACCAUUAUCUCCCACAACUCUUUGUGUUCUACUCGUGCAUAUAACAUCUACGCAUAGACCUGGCUCGAAUGCCACUGUUGGGGAACACAGUAAUUUCAAAAAAUUUCCUAUGAUCGCGCAAGAUCUAUCUAGGUGAUGCAUAGCAACGAGAGGGGAGAGUGUGUCCACGUACCCACGUAGACUGAAAGCGGAAGCGUUUCAAUAAUGCGGUUGAUGUAGUCAAACUUCUUCGCGAUCCAACUGAUCAAGUAACGAACAUAUGACACCUCCGUGUUCAACACACGUUCAGCUCGAUGACGUACCUCGCGCUCUUGAUCCAGUUGAGGACGGGGGUGAGUUCCGUCAGCACGACAGCGUGGUGAGGGUGAUGAUGAUGCUACCGACGCAGGGCUUCGCCUAAGCACUACGAUGGUAUGAGCGAGGUGUGUAACUAUGGAGGGGGGCACCGCAUACGGUUAAGAGAAACUUGUGUGUCUUUCGGGUGCCCCCUGCCCACGUAUAUAAAGGAGGGAGGGAGAGAGGCCGUCCCUCCUUGGGGUGCGCCAAGUGUAGGGAGUGCUACUAGGACUCCCAAGUCCUAGUAGGAUUCCCUUUCCUUUUCAGAGUAGGAAAGAAGGAAAGGAUGGAGAGGAGAAGGAGGGGGGGGGGGGCGCCCCACCCCUUGUCCAAUUCGGUUUGGGCGGGGGGAGGCGCGGGCCACCCCGUGGCCCUUCUUCCCUCUCUCUACUAAAGCCCAAUAAGGCCCAUUAACUUCCCCCGGCGAAUUCCCGUAACUCUCCGGUACUCCGAAAAAUACUCGAAUCACUCGGAACCAUUCCGAUGUCUGAAUACAGCCUUCCAAUAUAUCAAUCUUUACCUCUUGACCAUUUCGAGACUCCUCGUCAUGUCGGUGAUCUCAUCCGGGACUCCUAACAAACUUCGGUCAUCAAAUCACAUAACUCAUAAUACAAAUCAUCAUCGAACGUUGUAGCGACCAGACCUCAAACGGUCAAGUCUCUGUGCAUCAGUGUCAUCCCUGAUUGGUAAUGCUGACACACACAGUACUCGAGGAUUUAUAACAGAGUUUCAAUCACACACUUAUUACAUCGAAUGUCUCAAAAGAGAACUUAUUACAAUAAUAUGGCUUAAGUCCAUCUAAAAAGAUAACAACGGAAGGCUUGGAAGAUAAAGUGAGUUCAUCAACUCCAACGGCAUAGCUGAGUGAAUGAUAACGACCUAGCGCACCUUACUCUUCGUCUGAAAAGUCUGCAACAUGAUAUGUUGCAGCCCGAAACGGGUCAGCACAUGGAAUAUGCUGGCAAUGUAACACAAAAGAGAAAUGAACAGAAUAAAUGCUAUCACUACAUGCAUAUAUGGCUGGUGGAGAGCUCUAUGAUUAAGGUUUUUGCAUAAAGCCAAUUUUUCCCUACAACAAAGGAAUGUAUUUUAUUUAACUAUCAUGGUGGUUGUUAAACAUUGAGAAGGUUCCUCCAACUCAAUCGCAAUUAAACAUAUAUCAAUUAACCCAACAAAUUAAUUUAGAGUGAUGAGAUCAACAUGACAAUCCAAGAACUAGAUACUCAAGAUGUCCAUAACCGGGGACACGGCUAAUCAUGAUUAGUUUGUACACUCUGCAGAGGUUUGCACACUUUUUCCCACAAGACUCGAUCUCCUCCAUUAGAUUUCUCGCACUACAUGGUGUUUGAGAAACGGAUGACCGAGACACAGUCUUUCAGAAACAUUAUCUCUUUACUCUGGAUGGACAGUUACACCUACUUUCCCCUACUCAACUAUGCUAGAGCCCAUAAUAGCUUGUGGCUGCACACGAAAGUUUCUAGCAUGAAUAGUCUUAUGAUCCCUUUGAGCCUGGGUGGCGAACCGCAGGAUGAUCACACGGGUACUCCGGGAUAUCCUAGGACAACACUGGAUUCUCCAGGUGUCCGCAACCAAUCCACCCAGAUGUGUAUUUAAGUAGCCACCUUAAGUUAACCAUUAAUUAACAACUCUCACAUCUGUCAUGGAUACACUCAACCAAUCCACGUCUACGAGCAUAGCAUAGCAACCUGAGCAUAACAUAGAAGUAACUCCCAAAGGUUUGAUAAUAAAAGGGCAAUAGGUUCUACCUCAUCAUCUACUUCCCAAACCCACAUGUUAUUCAGGUCCUAACCAUGCAAUGUUUGAGGAUUGGAACUAAUGCAUAAAAACUGGGUAGUAAAGGGAUAUGAUCAAAGUGUUACUUGCCUUGCUGACGAUCUGCAAACCCUAGAGACUCGUAGUAGCACGCUUCGCACUCCGGGAAUUCUAUCGCAAACAAACAAUAGCAUACAUAAGCACUCAAGCAUAGAUGCACGGGUAAAACUCAAAUAAGAAGAUCCAAACUGAAAGUUCAACUGAAGAGCUUCGAUGAGCAAAAAGAAUCACUCGAAUCAGAGCUACGAAACUCAGACUACGCUCAAAGGAAGAUCGAAAUCAAAUCUGCUUGAAACCAAAUUUUAAUUUUUCAAAAUCCUGUUCAACUUGAUUAACGGAAAGAGGGGAUCGAGAUGAAGAUUUUGGCAUUGGUUUCGCUGGAUUCCGACUAGCGGUUAAAAAGUUGCGAGGGUUUGAAGAUCAGGGGCUAACGUGUGAUAAAAAUUAUCGCGGAUAGGUCCCUGGCGAAAAUAAAACAGAAAAAGAAAAAUCUAUCUGACGAACGUCCGCUAACACAGACAAAUGAACGAAUUCAUUCGUUAAAACAAGCUAACGAAGAGCGUUCGCAGAAUAAACUAACCGUAGAAAAACCGAUCUAAAAUAAAAAAACAAUCUAGGGGUUUUAAAAAACCGAACGGUUUUUACCUAACUGAGCGAAAAGACCGGCGGCUAGCUCCGGCGGGGCUCCGGCAAUGUCAGCGGGCGGCGGCAGCGCGAGAUGGCAGCGGUGGCGCGGGGAUUGAGGCAGGGCGGCGCUAGGGUUCGGGCGGCGGUGACUUGGGCUGGCGGGGCUGGCUGCUUCGCCCAUUAAAGGGCCGGCCGGGGAAGUCCGGCUCGGGCACAGCUCGUAGGUCGAUUGCAUUUUUUUUUUAAAAUGGACGGAGUAAAAUACCUAGUUCAAUCUAGUUACCGGCAAGUCUCUUUACUUGUUCCAUAAUACUUCAUCCCGCAACUAACUCAUUAGUCACAAUGCUUGCAAGGCUUAUAGUGAUGAGUAUUAUCGAGAGGGCCCAGAGAUACCUCUCCUAAACACAGAGUGACAAAUCCUAAUCUCGAUCUAUGCCAACCCAACAAACACCUUCGGAGACACCUGUAGAGCAUCUUUAUAAUCACCCAUUUAUGUUGUGACGUUUGAUAGCACACAAGGUGUUCCUCCGAUAUUCGCGAGUUGCAUAAUCUCAUAGUCUGAGGAACGUGUAUAAGUCAUGAAGAAAGCAGUAGCAAUGAAACUGUAACAAUCAUAAUGCUAAGCUAACGGAUGGGUCUUGUCGAUCACGUCAUUCUUCUAAUGAUGUGAUCCCGUUCAUCAAAUGACAACACAUGUCUAUGGUUAGGAAACAUAACCAUUUUUGAUUAACGAGCUAGUCAAGUAGAGGCAUACUAUGGACACUAUGUUUUGUCUAUGUAUUCACACAUGUACUAAGUUUCCGGUUAAUACAAUUCUAGCAUGAAUAAUAAAGAUUUAUCAUGAUAUAAGAAAAUAUAAAUAACAACUUUAUUAUUGCCUCUAGGGCUUAUUUCCUUCACUUAUCACACACCCCAGAGUUCGAACCUUUUCUUGGGUCUGCGGAGCCCUGAAUCCGACAUUUGGCGCACCAGGAGGGGCGUGUCGAAACCCUUCUUUCAUCUACACCCCGCGCUCGUUCCGUCGCACCCAUGCCAGAGGCUUCUCGAGCUUGCGAUGUGCGUUGGGCUGCUGGCCCAACCCGGGGGCGCCCCUCGGCUACAUAGCUCAUCAUCACCCUAUGCUCCCCAUGACCGGCACGGAUACUGGUGCCGAUCACCACCCGUGGUGCGUGCCGCUCCCACACCCUCCCGUGCGGCGUCGCAACCAUGUCACCGCACGGUCCUCUGGCUAUGCCACGACGUCGUCCCUGCACGCUCGCCUGGAGUAGGCGAACACACGAGCCACGCUCCAGGUGGCGCGCGAGCUGCCGCGGUGCAGGUUAGCAGAAGGCAGCCACGAUGCCUUACUCGCCCGCAUCGCCGAGUUGCUCGAUGCUGCCUGAGAGGGCACAACGCAUUUCCACAUCCUGUCGGCGUCGUGGACACCUCCGGGGACCCGCUCCCGCCCCUGCUGUGUUUGCUCGUCCACCUGGUGGGAGCCCAGAGGGCCCCGCGGGGGUGGUUCCGCAGGCGGCGCUGCCCCCCUAGCCCAAGGGGCGCGCCCCCGGGGUGUGACUGGGUUAGGCGGGCUCCACCAAGGCAGCGGCGAAGAGCCUCCCCCAGGCUAGCAAGGUAGGACAUCACUGAUGCUGGACAUCAGAGCAGAGGGACUGGGGGCCGACCUCAUGAUGAUGGCCCCUAGUGCCUCCGUGCCGCCGUUGGUGGGCUCGUUGUACGAAUAAAGGAAAGGCCUAUACACCUUUCCCCCGCCAGCCGAGACAUAAGGAUCGCCAAGGCAACAUGGAGCCGGGACCCCCUACGAGCCAACCCAGCACUUCGCCAGUACCUUCGACAGCAACGGUCGCCAGCUACGACCAAUAUAUUUGGAACAUGUUGCGCUAACCUUGGAUCGAGGUAAACCAUGCCACGGUCGCGCACCUCCAGACGUUGGCCCCGCCUCAGGCAGGCAGGGCACGCCGGGGGGUCACGCGAGGGAAGCCCGACGCUAGAGCUCCCCCCGCACCGCAAGGCGCAGGGCGCCACCACUACGGUGGCGCGUGCCGUCCUGAAGUGGGUCCUCCGCUGGCGAGCCCUUCCCCCGGUCGAGGGCCUGCAGCCACCCGACCACCUUCUACGUAGCCCCUUACCCCUUGGUCCUGCCCUGGUUUUUGGAUGCCCCAACGGUGGUCGGGGUAUGCGUGAGGCGGGGUCCCCACCCGAGAAGCAAGAAGUGCCCCUCAAGUCUCCGCUCGUGACACUCUUACAUAAUAAUGAGUGAGACUAUACACGCCCCGGAGUCUCCUGAGCGCUACCCCUGAGCCUUACGGGGGCUCCCACCCACGUCCAAGUGGAAGCACCAUGCUCCGCCCUGGUAGUCGACACUGUCCUCCAAUGACUAUUGCCAUGCCCAGUGGAAGCACUGAGCUCCGCGCUGGUGAGAAGACUAGUGUAGAUGCUGGACGUAGCCAUCUUUUUUGCUCGCUUUUUGUAAUUUGAUUUGCUACUUUUGAAAUGAAAUUCGAAGUUUCAUGCACUUGUUAAAAGAAAAAGGGGGGAACUUUCUCGAUUCGUGGUGUUUCCUUUUUAUGUGUUUUGUGUUUUGGGAGGCACGACUCCUGCCUACUGUCUCCUGCCGAGCGCCCUGCGAGCGGGGACUGGGAGUGGCGUGCGUGUCUGGGCAAGACCAAGCGGCAUCAGGGCCCCCUCAGGGCCAAGAAUGUAACCGCCGUGGGUCCGCCCGUUCACACACCGCACCAAAGCUUUGGUGCCUGGAUCCUCGUAGGGCGCUCUCAAGUGAGCCAGCAGGCACGCACCAUGCAUGGCACUCAGCUCGUGGCCUCAGGAGCACCCAGCUUUGGGCCUUAGGGGCACUCAGCAUCGGGUGCCCCCCACACUCCCGCGAAGCUCGACGCCCAGCAGGGGCACACCUGAAGAUCGCUUCAGGGGGCCCAUGUCAGGAGGUAUGCGUCCCUGCGAUGCAAGAACCUGUCCAAGGCCGUGAACACAAAAAUCUAAGCCAUGCUAACUACUCUAGUCAGGGGCCCUUCGGCUCACGGUGGCAUACUUUCGAAAAUAAUUUAGAGGGCAUAUCAUUGUUUCAUGCAUUACAGGGGAGCCCCCUCCAAAAAAUGCUUUCACGUCCCAUGGGGCUAUAUCUAUAAUUUUGGCAGGCAAACAGGGAAAUACAAGCCUAGCGAGACGUGCUACCACCGGCGUCGCUAUCAUCGUCAUCACCAUCAGCUCCGCCCUCUUCGGCUGUGAGCACAUCCACAUCAUUGACAAGGACGAGUUCCGUGAUCAGUUCAUCCACUUGGCCGUCCACCCUGCUUGCCAGGUUGCCCUGGAUUACUCCAGGCACGGGGGCUAUCGCGACGCUGAAGUUGAAGUCGGGAUCGAGGCUAAGAAGGUGACUGAAGACACGUGAGAACGCGCGUCCAAGAAGGUCAUGGAUUUUAUCUUCGACGAGCUGGAACGCCCUCACGGCCCCGCUUUCGGGGCAGGUCACGACCUGGGUGAAGAAGCAGAGGUAGCCAACAUCAUCAGCUUUGUACGGGCGGGAAAUGCUGUCGUCGAACAUGAUGCUUAGGGCCCGGUUGGCCCUGACCCUGAGGUCCUCAAAAAUCAAGGAAUGCUCGCGCUCCAGCGUUUAACGGUGGCCUGCCUCGUCCGAGGCACUCUCCACGAGGGACGUAACACCUGCAACCUCCUGAUGAAGGGAGGACAUCUCAGCCUCAGAAGUGGCCCAGGCCACCUCGGCGGCCUUCUCACACCGCUCUGCCGCAACCAGCUUUGCCUUGAGGGCAUCGGCCUUGCCCUACAGUUCAACUUGCCACUGCUUGAAGUGAGCUUCCUGGAGACCUAGCUUUUGGCGAUAUUCCUCGACAAGGGCCUCACGGAUCUCCGCCACCUUUUGCUUGACCUCCCAUUGGAUCCUCGCCUCCCAAGAGGCAAGGACCUCCUCGGUCGUGACCACCUGGCACUCCAUCACCUCCAGUCGCUCGCGCUCCACACUUAGCUCCACCGCCUCCAGUGCCAGCGAGUCAUCGGGCGUACAGGGCCUUGUCACGCUCGUGGGCGGCCCGGUUGCCGGAGCUGCAAGCGCCACCAUGCGCGCCUGGACUCGCUGCUCGAGGAGGGCGUUAGAGGCUUGAAGCUCAUUCUCGCGCGCCUCCGCCACGUCACGUCGGCGGUCUGCAGCUUGGGCCUCCUCCAAGGUGCGAUCGCGAGCCUCCCAUGAAGCCGCAAGAGACUCCUCUGCCUCCGCGCGGGUGUGCUCAUGAUGCAAAUGGCUAAGGUUGAUGGCGACUUUCAGCUGGUGCUAUUCACGUGCCAGGCGAAGGCCCUCCACCUUGAGGCGCGCGUCGACGUCGGCGAGCUCCGUCCCAAGACAACCUAGUGCGCUCAUCACUUCCCGGAGAAGGUCAUGACGGACGACACUGCGCCCGCGUGCAAGCUCCAGUGCCCAGCCAUGCCCUUCCUUCGCGCCCCGGUCGGCCGGAGGGACGCGAGAGGAUUCACCCAUCUCCGGCGGGGGGCUGGGGGUUGCAGCUCCCUAGGCCUGGGAUAGGGCACGACGCGGUCCAGCCCUGUUGCUUGAAGACGGAGCCAUCAUGCGGAUCUCCCAACCACCGGCAAGAACCAGUGGAGGGGCCCUCGCCAUGGCCUCCGUGCCCCAGGGGUCGCUCCGGAAGAAUGACGCCGGGAGUGCAGGCUGAUAUGUCUCCAAAUAUCUAUAAUUUAUGAAGUAUUCAUGCCAUGUUUAUAAUAUUUUUACAUGAUUUUGGUAUGAUUUGAUUAGAACUAACCCUUACUGACGCUGUUUUCAGCAGAACUACCAUGGUGUUGUUUUUGUGCAGAAAUAAAAGUUCUCGGAAUGCGCUGAAAAUCAACGGAGAAUAUUUUUGGAAAAUAUAAAAAAUAAUGGAAUGAAAAGAUAUCGGAGGGGAGUCUCGAGGCCACCACGAGGGUGGAGGGCGCCCCCCCUAGGGCACGCUUCCUGCCUCAUGGACUCCCCGUGGACCCCCUUGAUGUGAAACCAAUGCCAACCCCUCCUAUAAAUUGAGAAAACCCCAGAACAAAAGGGAGAUCGGAAGUUCCGCCGCCGCAAGCCUCUGUAGCCACGAUAAAUCAAUCUAGGCCCUCUCCGGCACACUGCCAGAGGGGGCCAUCAUCACCGGAGGCCAUGGAGGAGGAUCUCGGAGGGGCCAUCAUCGCCAUGAAGGCCAAGGACUAGAGGGGUAACAUCUCCCCAACCAGGGGGAGGCCAUGGAGGAAGAAGCACAAGGGGGAGAACCUCUCCUCCUCUCUCUUUGUGGCACUGGAGUGCCAUCGGGAGGGGAAUCAUCGCCGUGGUGAUCGUCUUCAUCAACGUCACCAUCAUCAUCACCAUCCUCAUCACUUUUACGUGGUCCACUCUCCCGCACCCCGCUGUAAUCCCUACUUGAACAUGGUGCUUUAUGGCACAUAUUAUGAUCCAAUGAUGUGUUUCCAUCCUAUGAUGUUUUGAGUAGAUAUCCUUUGUCUUUGGGUUGAUUGAUGAUCUAGAUUGGUAUGAGUUGUAUGUUUUUGUGGUGCUGUCCUAUUGUUCCUUCCGUGCCAUGCACACGUGAGGGAUUCCCGCUGUAGGGUGUUGCAAUAUGUUCAUGAUUCACUUAUAGUGGGUUGCUAGAGUGACAGAAGCUUAAACCCGAGUAAGGGGGUUGUUGCGUAUGGGAUAAAGGGGACUUGAUAUGUUAAUUCUGUGGUUGGGUUUUACCCUAAUGAUCUUUAGUAGUUGUGGAUGCUUGCUAGAGUUCCAAUCGUAAGUGCAUAUGAUCCAAGAAGAGAAAUUAUGUUAGCUUAUGCCUCUCCCUCAUACGAAAUUGCAAUGACGACCACCGAUCUUGUUAAUAAUUUCCUAGGACAAUUCCGCACACCGACGCAUCAUUAUUCUACACUCGCUAUUUAGAAUGCUUAAGUAAUAUAUUCUAACUUUAUGAUAAAAACACCUACUUUUAUAUUUUAGCUCUCCUAUAUCAUGCAAAGUUAUCCUCUUCAUACCAACAACAUAGUUUUAUUUCCCGUUUCUAGUUGGAAGCAAAUGUUCGACGUACGUAGAGUCGUAUCUGUGGCAGAUAGGACUUGAGAGAAUAUUGAUCUUACCUUUAGCUCCUUGUGGGCUCGACACUCCAUACUUAUCACUUCCGCAUUUGGAAAUUGCUACGAUGAUUCCCUUCACUUGGGGAUUAUGAAGCUCUUUUCUGGCGCCAUUUCCGGGGAGCAAUAGCGUGGGGUUGAUAUUUUCGUGGAUGCUUGUUUGCUUUCUUCACUAAGUAGAUUUUGUCUUCCCUUUUUUGUUUGGCUUAGUUGUGGGUGAAACAUACAAAAAAAAUAAAAAAAUGAAAAUACAAUUUUUUUACUUGCCUCUUAUGCCUAAAAAGUUUCUUUUCAAAAAGAGAAGUGAUUGGAAAGUUAUGCAUUGGAGAAGUCAGGGUCGACCUUGAACACUUGUAUUCAUGCUCAUGGAAAUAAUGUAGAAUUUUUCAUGGAAGUUUCUCAGAAAUAAUUAUCCCCUUGUAUAUAUCCAUUGUAUUAUAAAAAUAGUGUGCCAAGCUUUGUUUUUAGGAUGAUUAGAGUGCUUGUUUACUAUGUGCAGUGCAAAAACAGAAACUUUGGCUGUAGCACGUGAAUUUACAUUUUUUACUGGAAAGUCAAACGGGACUGAAACUUUUUGCACAGUACUUCUAUACAUUUUUUUAAAAUGUCGUAUAUUUUUUAGAAUUUUUAGAGUUACAGAAGUAUAGGAAAUUUCCAGAUUACUACACACUGUCCUAUUUUUGACAGAUUCUGUUUUCUAUGUGAUGUUCGCUUAUUUUGAUGAAUCUAUGGGUAGUAUCGUCGGGUAUGACCAUGGUGAAGUUGGAAUACAGUAGAUAUAAUGCUAAUAUGAAAUUGGAAUGAGUUUACAACAGUACCUAAAUGUAGUGGUUUGCUUUAUUAUACUAACGGAUCUCAGAAAGUUUUUAUUAAGUUUUGUGUGGAUGAAGUGUUCAAAGAACGAGGAGUUACCGAUGUGAGGAGAAUAAAGAGAGGCAAGAGUUCAAGCUUAGGGAUGCCCAAGGCACCCGAAGUAAAUAUUUCAAGGAUACUCAAGCAUCUAAGCUUGGGGAUGCCCCGGUUGGCAUCCCAUCUUUCUUCUUCAACAAUUAUCGGCAUACAUCGGGGUUUUUGUUUUGUUCACAUGAUUUGUGUCCUUUGUGUUUUUCUUUUUCUUUAAGAACCAUGAUAGUAUGAGAUAUCUCUUCAUUGAUUUAUAGAAUGCUUCAUGUGCUUCACUUAUAUCUUUUGAGUAUGAUCUUAUACAAUGCUCUGUGUGCUUCACUUAAAUCUUUUGAGUAUUGUUUUAUAGAAUGCUUCGUGUGCUUCACUUAUAUAUUUUGAGCUUGGAUAUUGGUUAGUCUAUAUUAAUUGUAUAAUGCUACAUGAACUUCACUUAUAUCUUUUGGAGUAUGAAUAAUACUAUCAUCGAAAGUGGAUUUGGAGAGGUCUUGACUUUACUUAGUAAUGAUUCCACUAUUUCAGAAGAAGUUCCAAUUGAUUACGAGAACAAAGUUGCUAUUUAUGAUUGUUAUUGUGAUGAGAUGUAUGCUAUAAGGGAAUAUGUUAACCAUGAAACUUGUUAUCAUGAUUUUAAUUUUUAAUUGGAUUGUGCCUCACAUGACAAUUAUUUUGUUGAGUUUGCUCCCACUAUUCCGACUGAGAAGAAUUUUGCUUAUGUGGAGAGUAGUAAAAUUUGUAUGCUUGUAGAUCAUGAAAAGAAUGCUUUAUGUGAUGGUUGUAUUGUUAAACUCAUUCAUGUGCUACUGAAAAUUAUUAUGAGGGAGGAAUAUAUGCUUGUAGGAGUUGCAAUAAUAUCAAGUUUCCUCUCUAUGUGCUUAAAGUUUUGAAGUUAUACUUGUUUUGCCUUCCGAUGCUAGUUGAUUCUUGUUCCCAUAAGUUGUGUGCUCACAAAAUACCUAGGCAUAGGAACUGGGUUAGAAUUAAAUAUUCUAGUCAUAUUCUUCAUGAUGCUCUCUUUAUGUUUCAAUUCUUAUCUUUUAUGUGAGCAUCAUUGAAAUCAUCAUGCCUAGCUAAAAGGCAUUAAAGAAAAGCGUUUGUUGGGAGACAACCCAAUAUUUACCCUUAGUGUUCUUGUGUGUUCACAUUAUUAAGCUACUAUAGUAAUCAUGUUUUAUAGCUUUUGUUUCAAUAAAGUGCCAAGUAAGACCUUUGGGAUAGCUUACAUAGUUGUGUUGAUCUUGUUGAAAAUCAGAAACUUUCGCGCCCAGUAAAUUAGUUUUGUUAAUUCACAGAAACGCGAUUUUGAUCCGAUUCUUUUUGGAAUGUAUUUGUACACAAAUUUCUCAGGUUUUGGUAAUUUGGAUGGAUUUUUGGAGUAGCAUAAGUAUGGUUUUUGUUCAGAUCAUUACAAACUGUUCUGUUUCUGGCAGAUUCUGUUUUUAGUAUAGUUUGCUUGUUUUCUAGUUUCUGUGGCUUAUAUUUCUCAAUAUAAAUUGUAGAAAUGAUAUGGUGCAGUAGGAAUUGUGUGAGAACAACAAUUAAUCUUGUCUUUGAUAGUACCAAAGUGGAUGAUUUACUCUUUAUCAUACUAACCCAUCUCACGAAGUUUCGUUAAGUUUUGUAUGAUUGAAGUUUUCAAGUUUUGGGUGAGAUACCGAUAUGAGGAGAAUAAGGAGUGGAAAGACCCUAAGCUUGGGGAUGCCCAAGGCACCCCAAGGUAAUAUUAAAGGAAUACUCAAGCACCUAAUCUUGGGGAUUCCUAGUAAGGCAUCCCCUUUUUCGUCUUCAAAACUAUUGGUAUACCUUACUCGGAGCUAUAUUUUUAUUCGUCACAUGAUAUGUGUUUUGCUUGGAGCGUAGUUUCAAUUUUACUUGCUGUUUGAAUAAAAUCAUUGGAUCUGAAAUCUUGAAUGAAAGAGAAUCCUCACAUGGCUAGUUAAUUAUUUGACUACUCAUUGUCCUUCACUUAUAUCUUUUUGGUGUAGUUUGACAUUUACUCACGUGCUUCACGUAUAUCCUAUGAGUAAAUGGUUGAAUGAAUUGAAUAUCAUAAAUCUGAAUUUAUAUAUGUUUCAUAUGCUUAGACCAUGGGGAGUAAUGACCUCACACAUAAUAAGUAUAGGUGGUAAAUUUAUUGAAAGUUAACAAACGCAGUAUUGGUCACUUGAACAAUUCAUGAAAGAAUAUUGAAGGAAGAGAGAUUUCACAUAUAAAUAUACUAUCUUGGACAUCUUUUGUAAUUGUGAGCACUCAUUAAAAUAUGACAUACUAAAAAGUUGAUGUUGGACAAGUAAGACAACUUAAUGGGUUAUGUUUUCCUAUAUCCGAAUAGACGUUAUAUUGUCUUGGAUCAUCCAACAUGUUGAGCUUGCCUUUCCCUCUCAUGCUAGCAAAAUUCUUUGCACCAAGUAGAAAUACUACUUGUGCUUCCAAACAUCCCUUAAACCAGUUUUGCCAUGAGAGUCCACCAUACCUACCUAUGGAUUGAGUAAGAUCCUUCAAGUAAGUUGUCAUCGGUGCAAGCAAUAAAAAUUGCUCUCUAAAUAUGUAUGAUCUAUUAGUGUGAAGAAAAUAAGAUUUAUACGAACUUGUGAUAGGGAAGAAAUAAAAGUGACGGACUGCAUAAUAAAAGUCUUUAUCACAAGCGGCAAUAUAAAGUGACAUUCUUUUGCAUUAAUAUUUUGUGCAUUCAACCAUAAAAGCGCAUGACAACCUCUGCUUCCCUCUGGGAAGGGCCUAUCUUUUACUAUUAUCUUCUACCCUUAUACAAGAGUCUUGGUGAUCAUCACCUCUCCUUUUUACACUUUUUCCUUUGGCAAGCACUUUGUAUUGGAGCGAUCCGGAUAUAUAUAUCCACUUGGAUGUAGUUUUUCAUAAAUUAUUAUUGUUGACAUUACCCUUGAGUUAAAAGGUUGGGAGGCAAAACUAUAAGCCCCUAUCUUUCUCUGUGUCUGAUUAAAACUUUGAACCCAUAAAUAUCACGUGAGUGUUAGCAAUUGUGAAAGAUUAAAUGAUAGUUGAGUAUGUGGAGUUUGCUAAAUCAAAGCUCUUACAUAGACCCUUCCUGAAAAUAAGAUGAAUUGCAAUUGUUUGAUGACUAAGAACAUGGUUUGUUAGUUUUCACGAAAGUUUAUGAUCUAUACUUUAUCAUGUGAAUAGCUUGUUACUUGAUCAUGAGAAGUUCUAUGAGUUGCGCUACUGCUAUGAUAAAUAAUGAUGCUAGUAAAGGUGAUUGAAAUUAUCAUUGAUCAAACUUGUGCACUUGCUAGCAUUCAAACUUCAUAAAUUAUUUCUUUUAUCAUUUACCUACUCGAGGACGAGCUGAAAUUAAGCUUGGGGAUGCUGAUACGUCUCCAACGCAUCUAUAAUUUAUGAAGUAUUCAUGCCAUGUUUAUAAUAUUUUUACAUGAUUUUGGUAUGAUUUGAUUAGAACUAACCCGGACUGAUGCUGUUUUCAGCAGAACUACCGUGGUGUUGUUUUUGUGCAGAAAUAAAAGUUCUCGGAAUGCGCUGAAAAUCAACAGAGAAUAUUUUUGGAAAAUAUAAAAAGUACUAGAACGAAAAGAUACCGGAGGGGAGUCCCGAGGCCACCACGAGGGUGGAGAGCGCCCCCUGCCUCGUGGACUCCCCGUGGGCCCCCUUGACGUGAAACCAACGCUAACCCCUCAUAUAAAUCCAGAAAACACAGAACAGAAGGGAGAUCAGAAGUUCCGCCGCCGCAAGCCUCUGUAGCCACGAGAAAUCAAUCUAGGCCCUCUCCGGCACCCUGCCGGAGGGGGCCAUCAUCACCGGAGUCCAUGGAGGAGGAUCUCGGAGGUACCAUCAUCGCCAUGAAGGCAAAGAACCAGAGGGGGAACAUCUCCCCAACCAGGGGUAAGCCAUGGAGGAAGAAGCACAAGGGGGAGGACCUCUUCUCCUCUCUCUCGGUGGCGCCACAGUGCCGUCGGGAGGGGAAUCAUCACCACGGUGAUCGUCUUCAUCAACAUCACCAGCCUCAUCUCUUUUAUGCGGUCCACUCUCCCGCACCCUGCUGUAAUCCCUACUUGAACAUGGUGCUUUAUGACACAUAUUAUGAUCCAAUGAUGUGUUGCCAUCCUGUGAUGUUUUGAGUAGAUAUCCUUUGUCUUCGGGUUGAUUGAUGAUCUAGAUUGGUAUGAGUUGUAUGUUUUAUUUUGGUUCUGUCCUACUGUGCCUUUCGUGCCGCGCACACGUGAGGGAUUCCCGUUGUAAGGUGUUGCAAUACGUUCAUGAUUUGCUUAUAGUGGGUUGCUAGAGUGACAAAAGCUUAAACCCGAGUAAGGGGGUUGUUGCGUAUGGGAUAAAGGUGACUUGAUAUGUUAAUUCUAUGGUUGGGUUUUACCUUAAUGAUCUUUAGUAGUUGCGGAUUCUUGCUAGAGUUCCAAUCAUAAGUGCAUAUGAUCCAAGAAGAGAAAGUAUGUUAGUUUAUGCCUCUCCCUCAUAUGAAAUUGCAAUGAUGACCACCGAUCUUGUUAAUAAUUGCCUAGGACAAUUCCACACACCGACCCAUCAUUAUUCCACACUCGCUAUUUAGAAUGCUUAAGUAAUAUAUUCUAACUUUAUGAUAACAACACCUACUUUUAUAUUUUAGCUCUUCGAUAUCAUGAAAAGUUAUCCUCUUCAUACCCACAACAUAGUUUUAUUUCCCGUUUCUAGUUGGAAGCAAACGUUCGGUGUACUUAGAGUCGUCUCAGUGGCAGAUGGGACUUGAGAGAAUAUUGAUCUUACCUUUACCUCCUUGUGGGAUCAACACUCCAUACUUAUCACUUCCACCUUUGGAAAUUGCUACGAUGAUUCCCUUCACUUGGGGAUUAUCAUAGGCCCCCGACCCUCCAGCGGAGGCCUCGACUCUUGAACAGACACCACCUCACGCGCAGCCGCCCGGCUCAAGGGGGACAGGGUCGCAACCGGACUAGAAGCCUCCGGAGGUCGCUCUCUAGACAAGCUUACCCCCGCAGCAGAAGGGAUCCUGAGGAGAAAAAGUCAGAAGAGGACGCAAUAUGAAAAAGUCAAGGUACUUACUCAUCCACAGCUAUUCAUUUCCUCUUUUUCAAGGCCCGAGGGAUGAGGUCACAGCGGUUCCCAAGCCCCUUCCAUUUGCGGGGUACCCAAGACCGGGAAGGAAUGCGCCGCGAACCGGGGCGCAGCCGUCCAUGACGGUGGCGGCGGCUGCGUCCGGAGGUGGGGCCCCUUCCCCACCGCCUGUGGAGCUGAGGGCAGCCACCUCGGGAGCGCAUGGUGGCUGCUCCCAGGUGGCCACCUCAGGAGCACAUGGAGCCACCUGUUUCCCAGUGGCUACCUCAGGAGCGCUUGACGGAGUCUGCUCCCCUGCGGCCACCUCAGGAGCACUUGACAGAGCCCGCUCCCGCGCGGCCACCUCAAGAGAGUGUGUCGCAGGGCCUCCAAGCGUAGGGAUCACCAAGAGGGGGUUGUCACGAGGUCCCUCGUGGCCCUCGGGGAGCAACCCCCACUCGUCGAAGCGCGACAUCUUCUUGGCAAAAGCCCUCCCGUUCGAGCAAUUGUACAAAGGGCAUCACUCAGUAGGGAGGGCAGCAGGCGUGGGGUUGUCCUUCAGGAGUUGGAGCACUGCACGCAGCGUUUUGGAGGGGAGCAAAGGCACCUGGAGCCUCAUGGGGUCAUCAGGGCCGGUAAAGGCCCACAUUGGGCGGGUAUGGCACUGGAGCGGAGCGAUGCGCCGCCGUGCAAACUCCCUCACCACCAUUUCCGUCGUCACCCAUGCCUUCUUCAGCUUGGCUAGCCUGGAUAAGAUACGCGCAAGCCAUCGGUCUACGAGCUCUACAUGUCCCCAGUCGGAGGUUGGCUCCGCCGGUGCCGAUGGGAGGAAGAGUAGGGGGCUGCGCACAAUGUCGUCCACAUACACCCACUGCUUCCGGAACCCCCUCGCAUCCGGGCGGAGCAUGAAGUUGAUGCCAGAGCUAGCUGUCGCCGUCACCGCCUGGAGCGACACACCCCGAGCGUUGUCCGCCGUUUACCAAGUGGAGCGACAAGAAAUGGUGGAGCAAGGCCACAGACGGGGUGAUGCGCACGGAGGCCUCACACAAGAAGGUGAAAGCGGAGAGGAGAACAAUGGAUCCGGGGUCCAGAUGCAACGCGUGGAUCUGAUAGUGCGAUAACAUGGCGUUGAAGAAGUCUGAGAAGAGGGGCAGCAUGCCGGCGAAGAGAGCAUGGCGAUGAAGGGGGAUUUCGGUGGCCUCCAUAUCAAUUAAGGCCUCGGGGGCGGGCCAGACCGCCGUCGCCUUCCACUCGUUGGAAUCGGCGGCAAGGGCUGGACAGACCUUGCUCAACCCCUCCUGGUUGAUCAUCGUGGACUGGUCCAGCACUGGUUCCGGCCUCAGAGAGGGCUCCAUGACCACACGGGCUUUCUCCUUCUUUGACCCGGGAGCCAUGGUGGCAGAGUGGAUGGAAGCUGGCGUGGAAUCUGGUGAAGGAGGCGCAAGCUCGCGGGAAACCAAGGGAGCGGAAGGCGAGCACAACGGGUAAUGAUGGUUGGGCCGCAUCUGCCAGGCAGUUAUCAAGUCAGGCAGUUGUCGAGGUGGUGUGGGGAAGUGGGCACGCCCACGUCCCAUCGAAUGCCACACGUCAGCCUGGCCCGCGGUGCUUCGCCCUUGCCCUUUGGCUUCACCUCGAAGCCAAGUUCGAGCGCGCCUUGUGCUCGGGGGCUACUAUCAGCGUUCUGGGAACCAGGGUACGCAGACUUUCUUGCCUGGAACCCACGGCGUGGCUUCAUUGACAGCCUGGUACGGCCCAUCUACUACACAAACAAAUCAAGACACUUGCAAGGGGCCAAGCCUCAUGAGGCGGACGACGCUAAGACCUCCGGAGGGAGCGGCCUCCCCGGGCUGCCUCCUGAGGAGCGGAGAUUCCUAUGCAGGUGCUCAACCUCAUGAGGCUGCGGUGAUGCAAGCCAUGACGACCAAGGCCAGGCAGGCACCAGCAGGCAAAGAGGAUCAUGUUUCCUCUUUGGUGCUAAGGAGGCAAGCGUAGGCGCGGAGUCCCGAGGAAUCAACCAAAGGUUUCCAUUCCCAUGCAACAAGACCAAGACAGCCAGGACGGCAUGAUAGAUGUCAUCGCCGAGCCAUCCGCACCGUCACGACCAGGAGCUUUGCAGGAAAUGACGACCUUUUGCCAGGAUAAGAUGUACUACUUGUCCCCAUUCGAAUUGGCCACUGUGGGAUCCCUUCCCUCCUACGUUUUGGGGGAAGAGGACCAAGGCCACUAUAAGUACAGGCUAGCCACCACCAUAGAGGAGGUCGGAUCCCUUCAACUCACACACACACACACUAGAGCAGACCUCACGAGGUUGUUCUUCCCUUGUACUAGUUGAUCCUCAGCCCCUCGUGAGGCAAAUCCACCACAAAGCAGGAGUAGGGUUUUACACUGCAAGGUGGCCCAAACCUAGGUAAACUGCUUUGUCCAUCUUCUUCCUUGUUCACCGAGUUAGACGUGGGGGCGAUGAACUGGUUGGCUGAAGGGGUUGAGUUCUUCGCACACACCCCAGAGUUCAAACCUUUUCUUGGGUCUGUGGAGCGCUGAAUCUAACAUGCUCGGAUUCGAGAUCGGAAGGCCCGGGGUGACCAUUGCCUCUUCGCCGUUGACGUGUCCACCGGCCCCUCCGACGUGCGGGAGCACAUCCUGGAGGUCCACCACCCUCGAUGUCAUCCGCCCCGGGCGCCAUAUUAGUCUGGGGAGCCACGUGCCCGACACCUUCGCCGUCUUCUCCACGCUCGGCCGCCACCACCUAGCCGUCGAUUUGCCCUUUCGGUGUGCUUUCGGCCUCUCCGAGCACGCCAACCGCUCCAUGGUGAGCCCCUCCUCUGCUACCCCCUACUCCCCUCCAUUCGCCAUGCCCCCAUGCUGUGCCAUGCUGCACGAGCUCUGACCAAGCUCGCAAGCACCCCCACUCCCACGUCCCGCGGCAGGAUGCCCGGGCCUCACCCCCCACGCCGCUGACGCCCCAGCUGUAAGUGCAUCUAGUGCCACCCCUAGCUGGUUUUGGAGCAUUGACGACAAACUUGGUUGAGGGACUAAUGUGUUUGUGAGGAUUGCAGGAUAACACAGGUAGUAGUCCCUCAUUGAUUCGGUUUACCUACCAGAGAUGACCCAUAAAAAUGUGUGAAGACAUUGAAGACAAUGGUGGUUCGUGAAGACAUUCACGACGAAGAUUAUGACGUGUGAAGAUAUUCACUUGAAGACUAUGGAGUGCGAAGACAUAGCUGUUUCAUAGUUUCCAUUCUUCUUUAUUGAGUCAUAGGAACCACCAUACAGUUAAGUGGGGUCCAAGUGAACAAAGUUAGAGUGACUGAAGUGAUGCUCAACCAAAUCCUAUGUCUUCGAGCAAAGACAAUGGGAGCAAACCUUAUCCCGAGCUGGAUGAGUCAGCUUUGCUUGUAGCCCAAGCCAAGCUGCCACGUGUGUUUGAAAUCCCACCGUUGGACACGUGUCGAUUCCUGAGUAACACAGGGUCAUUUCGGACAUAUCAGGUCGGGUUGCCUCAUGGUUAUAAAUAGCCCACCCCCUACACCAUAAAUUGGUGGCUGCUCAGAGUUAGUACAUGGCUUUUGUCGUUUGAGAGCAACCCACCUCCGAAGCAUUUGAGAGAGAGAUCCUUGUGAGGACUAAGCCCAAAACACCUAGAGCCAAGGAGUGUUAGGCAUCACUAAAGUCUUUCUGUCUGCCUAAUCUGAAGACUGUUACACUUGAGGACUGUGAAUCCUCCAGCCGGUUAGGCAUCGCAUUCUGAGCAUCCAAGAGUCAUUGUGGAUUGUCGGUGAACGAAGUCUGUGAAGGUUUGGAAGUCUACCUUGAAGACUUACCAGAGUGAUUGGGUGAGCACUGGGUGUCCUUAGCUCAAGGGGAAUAAGGUGAAGAGAUGGUCUUCUGAGUUCAAUCUCAGCCUCCCUAACCAGACGUACAAUUGUCACAUCAACUGGAACUGGUCUACCAAAACCUUAUCUUCACCAAGCAACUGGUUCUAUCCCAACUCUCCUUACUUUUCAGUUUAUUUUCAUGAAGUCAUUGCUUGCCCGCCUGAUUCAUUUGACUUCAUUGAGUGAAGACUUAUAUCUAUUUGGUUUCGUACUAUCUUCCGUUCUGAUCCUGUCUACCUAGUUGCAAUUAGUCUUCAUGCUUUCACUGUAUUGUAUGCUUGACUAAUGCUUGCCUAGUGUAGUCUUCAUUCCGCUGCUUACUAUAUAGGUUUAGUUUAUUUGUUUGCUCGUCCACCUGGUGGGAGCCCAGAGGGCCCCGCGGGGGUGGUUCCGCAGGCGGCGCUGCCCCCCUGGCCCAAGGGGCGCGCCCCCGGGGUGUGACUGGGUUAGGCGGGCUCCACCAAGGCAGCAGCGAAGAGCCUCACCCAGGCUAGCAAGGUAGGACAUCACUGAUGGUGGACAUCAGAGCAGAGGGACUGGGGGCCGACCUCAUGAUGAUGGCCCCUAGUGCCUCCGUGCCGCCGUUGGUGGGCUCGUUGUACGAAUAAAGGAAAGGCCUAUACACCUUUCCCCCGCCAGCCGAGACGUAAGGAUCGCCAAGGCAACAUGGAGCCGGGACCCCCUACGAGCCAACCCACCACUUCGCCAGUACCUUCGACAGCAACGGUCGCCAGCUACGACCAAUAUAUUUGGAACAUGUUGCGCUAACCUUGGAUCGAGGUAAACCAUGCCACGGUCGCGCACCUCCAGACGUUGGCCCCGCCUCAGGCAGGCAGGGCACGCCGGGGGGUCAUGCGAGGGAAGCCCGACGCUAGAGCUCCCCCCGCACCGCAAGGCACAGGGCGCCACCACUACGGUGGCGCGUGCCGUCCUGAAGUGGGUCCUCCGCCGGCGAGCCCUUCCCCCGGUCGAGGGCCUGCAGCCACCCGACCACCUUCUACGUAGCCCCUUACCCCUUGGUCCUGCCCUGGUUUUUGGAUGCCCCAACAGUGGUCGGGGUAUGCGUGAGGCGGGGUCCCCACCCGAGAAGCAAGAAGUGCCCCUCAAGUCUCUGCUCGUGACACUCUUACAUAAUAAUGAGUGAGACUGUACAUGCCCCGGAGUCUCCUGAGCGCUACCCCUGAGCCUUACGGGGGCUCCCACCCACGUCCAAGUGGAAGCACCAUGCUCCGCCCUGGUAGUCGACACUGUCCUCCAAUGACUAUUGCCAUGCCCAGUGGAAGCACUGAGCUCCGCGCUGGUGAGAAGACUAGUGUAGAUGCCGGACGCAGCCAUCUUUUUUGCUCGCUUUUUGUAAUUUGAUUUGCUACUUUUGAAAUGAAAUCCGAAGUUUCAUGCACUUAUUAAAAGAAAAAGGGGGGAACUUUCUCGAUUCGUGGUGUUUCCUUUUUAUGUGAUUUGUGUUUUGGGAGGCACGACUCCUGCCUACUGUCUCCUGCCGAGCGCCCUGCGAGCGGGGGCUGGGAGUGGCGUGCGUGUCUGGGAAAGACCAAGCGGCAUCAGGGCCCCCUCAGGGCCAAGAAUGUAACCGCCGUGGGUCCGCCCGUUCACACACCGCACCAAAGCUUUGGUGCCUGGAUCCUCGUAGGGCGCUCUCAAGUGAGCCAGCAGGCACGCACCAUGCAUGGCACUCAGCUCGUGGCCUCAGGAGCACCCAGCUUUGGGCCUUAGGGGCACUCAGCAUCGGGUGCCCCCACACUCCCGCGAAGCUCGACGCCCAGCAGGGGCACACCUGAAGACCGCUUCAGGGGGCCCAUGUCAGGAGGUAUGCGUCCCUGCGAUGCAAGAACCUGUCCAAGGCCGUGAACACAAAAAUCUAAGCCAUGCUAACUACUCUAGUCAGGGGCCCUUCGGCUCACGGCGGCAUACUUUCGAAAAUAAUUUAGAGGGCAUAUCAUUGUUUCAUGCAUUACAGGGGAGCCCCCUCCAAAAAAUGCUUUCACGUCCCAUGGGGCUAUAUCUAUAAUUUUGGCAAGCAAACAGGGAAAUACAAGCCUAGUAAGAUGUGCUACCACCGGCGUCGCUAUCAUCGUCAUCACCAUCAGCUCCGCCCUCUUCGGCUGUGAGCACAUCCACAUCAUUGACAAGGACGAGUUCCGUGAUCAGUUCAUCCACUUGGCCGUCCACCCUGCUUGCCAGGUUGCCCUGGAUUACUCCAGGCACGGGGGCUAUCGCGACGCUGAAGUUGAAGUCGGGAUUGAGGCUAAGAAGGUGACUGAAGACACGCGAGAACGCGCGUCCAAGAAGGUCAUGGAUUUUAUCUUCGACGAGCUGGCACGCCCUCACGGCCCCGCUUUCGGGGCAGGUCACGACCUGGUGAAGAAGCAGAGGUAGCCAACAUCAUCAGCUUUGUAUGGGCGGGAAAUGCUAUCGUCGAACAUGAUGCUUAGGGCCCGGUUGGCCCUGACCCUGAGGUCCUCAAAAAUCAAGGAAUGCUCGCGCUCCAGCGUUUGACGGUGGCCUGCCUCGUCCGAGGCUCUCUCCACGAGGGACGUAACACCUGCAACCUCCUGAUGAAGGGAGGACAUCUCAGCCUCAGAAGUGGCCCAGGCCACCUCGGCGGCCUUCUCACACCGCUCUGCCGCAACCAGCUUUGCCUUGAGGGCAUCAACCUUGCCCUACAGUUCAACUUGCCACUGCUUGAAGUGAGCUUCCUGGAGACCUAGCUUUUGGCGAUAUUCCUCGACAAGGGCCUCGCGGAUCUCCGCCACCUUCUGCUUGACCUCCCGUUGGAUCCUCGCCUCCCAAGAGGCAAGGGCCUCCUCGGUCGUGACCACCUGGCACUCCAUCACCUCCAGUCGCUCGCGCUCCACGCUUAGCUCCACUGCCUCCAGUGCCAGCGAGUCAUUGGGUGUACAGGGCCUUGUCACGCUCGUGGGCGGCCCGGUUGCCGGAGCUGCAAGCGCCACCAUGCGCGCCUGGACUCGCUGCUCGAGGAGGGCGUUAGAGGCUUGAAGCUCAUUCUCGCACGCCUCCGCCGCGUCACGCCGGUGGUCUGCGGCUUGGGCCUCCUCCAAGGUGCGAUCGCGAGCCUCCCAUGAAGCCGCAAGAGACUCCUCUGCCUCCGCGCGGGUGUGCUCAUGAUGCAAAUGGCUAAGGUUGAUGGCGACUUUCAGCUGGUGCUAUUCACGUGCCAGGCGAAGGCCCUCCACCUUGAGGCGCGCGUCGACAUCGGCGAGCUCCGUCCCAAGACAACCUAGUGCGCUCAUCACUUCCCGGAGAAGGUCAUGACGGACGACACUGCGCCCGCGUGCAAGCUCCAGCGCCCAGCCAGGCCCUUCCUUCGCGCCCCGGUCGGCCGGAGGGACGCGAGAGGAUUUACCCGUCUCCGGCGGGGGGCUGGGGGUUGCAGCUCCCUAGGCCUGGGAUAGGGCAUGCCGCGGUCCAGCCCUGUUGCUUGAAGACGGAGCCAUCAUGCGGAUCUCCCAACCGCCGGCAAGAACCAGUGGAGGGGGCCUCGCCAUGGCCCCCGUGCCCCAGGGGUCGCUCCGGAAGAAUGACGCCGGGAGUGCAGGCUGAUAUGUCUCCAAAUAUCUAUAAUUUAUGAAGUAUUCAUGCCAUGUUUAUAAUAUUUUUACAUGAUUUUGGUAUGAUUUGAUUAGAACUAACCCUUACUGAUGCUGUUUUUAGUAGAACUACCAUGGUGUUGUUUUUGUGCAGAAAUAAAAGUUCUCGGAAUGCGCUGAAAAUCAACGGAGAAUAUUUUUGGAAAAUAUAAAAAAUAAUGGAAUGAAAAGAUAUCGGAGGGGAGUCCCGAGGCCACCACGAGGGUGGAGGGCGCCCCCCUAGGGCACGCUUCCUGCCUCAUGGACUCCCCGUGGACCCCCUUGAUGUGAAACCAAUGCCAACCCCUCCUAUAAAUCGAGAAAACCCCAGAACAAAAGGGAGAUCGGAAGUUCCGCUGCCGCAAGCCUCUGUAGCCACGAGAAAUCAAUCUAGGCCCUCUCUGGCACACUGCCAGAGGGGGCCAUCAUCACCGGAGGCCAUGGAGGAGGAUCUCGGAGGGGCCAUCAUCGCCAUGAAGGCCAAGGACUAGAGGGGGAACAUCUCCCGAACCAGGGGGAGGCCAUGGAGGAAGAAGCACAAGGGGGAGAACCUCUCCUCCUCUCUCUUUGUGGCACUGGAGUGCCAUCGGGAGGGGAAUCAUCGCCGUGGUGAUCGUCUUCAUCAACGUCACCAUCAUCAUCACCAUCCCAUCACUUUUACGUGGUCCACUCUCCCGCACCCCGCUGUAAUCCCUACUUGAACAUGGUGCUUUAUGGCACAUAUUAUGAUCCAAUGAUGUGUUUCCAUCCUAUGAUGUUUUGAGUAGAUAUCCUUUGUCUUUGGGUUAAUUGAUGAUCUAGAUUGGUAUGAGUUGUAUGUUUUUGUGGUGCUGUCCUAUUGUUCCUUCUGUGCCAUGCACACGUGAGGGAUUCCCGCUGUAGGGUGUUGCAAUAUGUUCAUGAUUCGCUUAUAGUGGGUUGCUAGAGUGACAGAAGCUUAAACCCGAGUAAGGGGGUUGUUGCGUAUGGGAUAAAGGGGACUUGAUAUGUUAAUUCUAUGGUUGGGUUUUACCCUAAUGAUCUUUAGUAGUUUUGGAUGCUUGCUAGAGUUCCAAUCGUAAGUGCAUAUGAUCCAAGAAGAGAAAUUAUGUUAGCUUAUGCCUCUCCCUCAUACGAAAUUGCAAUGACGACCACCGAUCUUGUUAAUAAUUGCCCAGGACAAUUCCGCACACCGACCCAUCAUUAUUCUACACUCGCUAUUUAGAAUGCUUAAGUAAUAUAUUCUAACUUUAUGAUAAAAACACCUACAUUUAUAUUUUAGCUCUCCUAUAUCAUGCAAAGUUAUCCUCUUCAUACCCACAACAUAGUUUUAUUUCCCGUUUCUAGUUGGAAGCAAAUGUUCGACGUACGUUGAGUCGUAUCUGUGGCAGAUAGGACUUGAGAGAAUAUUGAUCUUACCUUUAGCUCCUUGUGGGCUCGACACUCCAUACUUAUCACUUCCGCAUUUGGAAAUUGCUAUGAUGAUUCCCUUCACUUGGGGAUUAUGAAGCUCUUUUCUGGCGCCAUUUCCGGGGAGCAAUAGCGUGGGGUUGAUAUUUUCGUGGAUGCUUGUUUGCUUUCUUCACUAAGUAGAUUUUGUCUUCCCUUUUUUGUUUGGCUUACUUGUGGGUGAAACAUACAAAAAAAAAUAAAAAAA